rnacentral:lncRNA from 1 species
ACCCUUUAACCUUCACGUCACUUAUUUAUUGCUUGUUAUAAAUAGCAUAAAUGCUUAUAGUCUCAAGAAUAUCUCAUCUCCGAGUUGACGAUGAAACGUGAACGUACGAAAAUGUAAGAUGUAAUGGUAAUGUCAAAUGUGACUUGUGCAAAAUUUGAGGUCAAUUAGACAUAAUUUGAUAGGUUUCGGCAUUGGUUGUUGAAGUUGAAGUUUCAAAGUUCAUUAAUUUUGACUUGAGGUACGAUACGUUGUUUCGAGGUUGUUAUGCGUGAUUUAAAGCCUCGAGUAGGUUCGUUUCGUCAUACAGGACUUGUCUGCAUAAUUUGGUGCCAUUUGGAGUUGAUUUGAUAUGGUUCAGACGCUUGGUUGUGAUUUUAGAAGUUCUUGAAGUUUAAUUUGAUCUUCAUGCGUUUUGGCAUAUGAUUCGUGCUUUUAGAGAUUAUUUUGGUGAUUUGAUCAUACGAGCGAGUUCGUAUUGUGUUUCUGGACCUGGGUGCAUGGUUGGUUUGGAGCCUCGGGGGCUUGGGUGAGUUUUGGAUUGGUUACGAAAUAAUUUAUCAUGAUUUUUGAGUGCUGGUACUGGUGACAUCGCAUUUGAGAUAUUUUUGUCGCAAAUGUGACCAACGCAAUUACGAAGCAGUCUCGCAUUUAUGAAGUUGGGCUGCUAAGGCAGACUUUGCAUUUGCGAAGGUAGUUCUAGCAUUUGCGAGUGUUGGCUAUUCGCAUUUGCGAUACUUUGGUUGCAAAUGUGACCUCAACAUGAAUUCUUCUAGUUUUCUUUUGCGAUGAGUUGUUUGGAUUUGCGGAGUUCGCGUCGCAAAUGCGACAUCUGACGCCUGUAUAUAGUUGUGAAUUCCGAGACUUAGCUUUAGUUUGUUAUAUUUUGAUCCCUAGGUUCGAUGGAAGGUUAUUUUGUAAAGGGAUUUUCAUACCAAAUUAUUGGGUAAGUACCUCUUAUCAAUUCUCAGUAAUAUUUCAUGAUUAUACAUAAGAUUUAACAUCUAGUUCAUGUGAAUCUAGGGAAAAAUUUGGGGAUUUUGUCAAUGUUUUAAAAAAUGAAAAUUUGGGAUUUGAACUCGGAUUUGGAAACAAACCACGUAUUUGGACUCGUAAGGUUAUGGGUAGUCAAGACCUACCCUUUGACCUAGAUUUUGAUCGGGCAAGCUUGGGGGUUGACUUUUGUUGACUUUUUAGAAAUUGUAUAAAGAUCAUAGCUUUAUUAAUUGAAAAUGUUUUCUCUUGCAUUGUGUGAUUUAUUUAAGUCAUCUUUGGCUAGAUUGAGCCGAGCAAAGGUGAAUUUGUAAAAGAAAAAGCUAAAUUGAGUAUUGAGUUAGCCGAAUUGAGGUAAGUGUCUUGCCUAACUUUGUUGAGGGAAUUUUUCCUACUAUUUGACUUUGUCUGCUACAUGCGGGGGUGAUACAUAUAUGAGGUGACGAGCAUAUAUGCAUGUGCUAGGGUUAACCACUGGGGGUAAAAUAUGUAAUGAAUUAUGUCUUGUAGAAUUACGUGACCUUCUUGCUUCAUGCCUUACUUGACUCCUAGAUACUAAGAACAUAGUAUUAAAUGUGAGAAACUAAGGCUUAGCUUAUUAUAACUUGAUCAAAUUUGAUGGAAUUCUGAGAAUACAUUGAUGUGUCUAAUUCGGUCAUCACUAUGCUUAAUCAUUAAUAUAUUGUUACGGCCGAUAUUUUUGAGAUACUAGAUUCUAUACUCGUGUUGCAGAUCAUUCAUGAGAUUUGUUGAAAUACUUGAAUAAUAAGGUUCUUGUGGGUUUAUUGAACUAUUAUCGGUUUCGAAAGUUGUGAUUGAGAUUCAUUUGGAAUAUUCAUUUAAACACUCUCCUUGAUGUUAUCUAUGUUUCCUACCUUAUUUGCCAUUGAUAUACAUAUGCUUGGUAAGGAAGAGUGUAAAGCACGAAGGGUGAUGUUGUCUAUGUUAUGAGAGUGUAACGCAUGAAGGGUGACGUCGUGCCAUGUUAUGUGAGUGUCAAGCACGAAGGGUGAUGUCGUGCCGUAUCAUUGAGUGUGAAGCACGAAGCAUGAUGACGUGCUAUGUUAUGUGAGUGUAAAACAAAAGUGUGAUUCAGUGCCAUAUCAUUGAGAGUAAAAGCACGAAGGGUGAUUCCGCGCCAUUCAUUUGAGAGUAAAAGCACGAAGGGUGAUGUCGUUCCAUUCAUUUGAGAGUAAAUGCAUGAAGGGUGAUGCCGUGCCAUUUCAUUUAUAUUGUCAUGCUUUUAUAUUAUCGUGCGUCCAUGACACGAUGGGUGUUUUCGUGCAGGUGAGGAUGGUGGACAUACAUUAUGUUGUGAUAUCUGUUCCCCGUGUAUACGUUCAUACUUUUACCUUAAGAUGUUAUUGUCGUGCUUAUAGAUCUUAUUUAACUUGUUGUUAUGUUCUGUCUGUGAUCUAUAUCUCAAUUGUUAUUGUGUUGAUCAUACCUUCUACUUGCUUAACUUGCAAAUACCAUGCCUACUUCCUGCUAUUAUAAUUACAUUCAUGUCGUAUCUAUUCUGUUACUCUUUAAUACAAUCCUUUUUUCCAUGUUAGUCAUUCAUGCCUCUACUUGUUAACUAUUAAAGAUCAUGUAUUUCCUUCUUAUAUGUUAUACCUAUAUCUAGGCCUCCACCAUGCUAGUUAGUUGAAGUUGAUAUUCUGUGUCUUUCAAUUGUUGUCAUUACACAUAUGCCUUGUACCUAGUCUAUUAUUAUUGCCCACAUGUAUAUCCUUGUUCAUUAUUGCUUCUUGCGUAUUUCCUACAUUGUAAUCCCUAUUAUCGGUAUUUCUGUCAUCCUAUUAGUAUUGUUAUACGUAUAUUGGGUGAGCAUGAGAUAGAAGCACGAAGGAUGUUGCCGUGUAAUUGACUUGAUAUCUGAGUACAUUCCUCAUGCUAUAAAAGUUAUAGUGUUAAUGUUGUGGUUUAUUGGUUUUCGUUCGAAGGGAAAGAUUGGCCGAGGUAUUGGAAGUUACUAAAUUGUUGUCUCUACUAGUAGUCAAUUAUUGUUUUGCAUACUCGUUUGAUGUAUUCUUUUCUGUUAUAUCGUGGUAUAGUUCUAUUGCUGAUUUACGGUGCAGGUUUUAUCAGUGAGUGUCUUUUAACUAAAAAGCCUCAUCACUACUUCGACGAGGUUAGACAAGAUACUUACUAGGUACAUGGGGUCGGUUGUACUUAUACUACACUUAUGCCCUUGCGUGCAGAUUUUUGGAGCGGAGCUACUGGUGAUGUUGGGAGCUGACUCUGAAGAUGUUUGUGCAUUUCAGAUAUUGUUUCCACUUGUCCUUGGUAGCUUUAGGUUUUGCUAAUCUGUUUAUGUAACUUUCAAACAGAUCGUGUAAUUAUUUGUAUCAGCUUUGUAAAUUCUCUAUCUUAGAAGCUCGUGAUUCGUACUACUAGUUCUUGGGUUAAUUUGUUAAUGUUCAGAUAAUUCUUCACUAUUUUCCGAUAAUCACAUUUGGAUUGUAUCGACUGUUAGUUGGAUUACCUAGCGGAUCGAGUAGCCAUCACGAUUAGUGGUUUUUGGGUUGUGACAAGUUGGUAUCAUAGCUCUAGUUCAUAGGUUCUACGUGUAUAUGAGCAAGUGUCUAGCAGAGUCUUGCGGAUCAGAAUGAUGAUGUCUAUACCUAUCUUCGAGAGGUUACAGGACAUUUAGGAUAAACUUUCUAUCUUUCUCCUUAUCUUGUGGCAUUGAUUCAGCGUGAAGCAUAACCCUUUGAAUUUCUUCCAUGCAUUCAUAUGCGCAUCUAAGUGCUCGGUAUCUGCUAUACAUUGACGGCUUGUGAUUCCAUGGAUGAGGUGCGAGAUGUGAUUUAUGUGUGUUGAUGAUGGGUCGGUCUAGGGGACUUGAGGCUGGGUUUCGACUGCAGCUUGAGAGCUGGAAUUUUGGUUGUGUGUGCAUGUGCUUUUGGACUUAUACAUCCGGUGGUGUUCCUAUGAGUGGAAUUUGUGGUCGACGACUGGUUGGAUGAUUAAAUGAUGAGUAGGAUGUGACUGCCAGCUAUGUUCAAAUGAUUUUAGUACCAAGUUAUAAGAGUGUUGAAAUAUUUUCCAUGUUGUUUAGUUGUGGAACGAAUUUGAUUCUCAUGCCUUAUUGAUGAGUUCAGACCUAGGUAGAUUAAGUGGUGUCAUAGUAGUUGUGGCUAGAAUAUAAUAUUUACAUGUGUUGAGACUCACAAUAUUUCUAUAUCAUUGUGGAUUAAGCAUUUUAGUUUCAGGAAGGGGGAGGAAACGACUUUAGAUUCACAGAAGGUCUCUUCAGAGUUGGCAUCUCAGUUGUGGUACUUUGAUGUGCUAAUAAGGAGUACAAUAGCUUAUAGGCCUUAGGGUAGUGUGGUUUUUAUGCUAGAAUCUCUUAUCGCAAGCUUCAAGGUAAGCAUCAUGGUGUUCUCGCAAAGAGGGGUAUCAACUUGAGGUUAAUUUGGAUGGAACUCGGAGAAAAAUAGGGCAAUUUGAUAGUAAGUUGGAUCAACACGGAAAUGGUGUAAUCGGAUCUUUGGAUACUUAUGAUAGGGUAGUUGUGUUAGAGGGUUCUGAUAGCUUGGUUAUGUAAAAAUGGAUUCCAAGGAGUUCUCGAUGAUUUCUAUCACGAUUCGAGGUGGAUAUUUCCUACUGGUGUGAGGAACAUGUCGCGUAUUGGGAUUUCCUCCUGGAUGAGAUCAAAUAGAAGGUUUUUGAUUGAUCGAGAUUGAGUUUUGCUUGUGCAAGGUCACGUUUCAGUUUUGGAGGGAAGGUCAUGAAUUCUUAGAUAGCACGGAUGGUUUCAGAUGUCUAGAUGGAUGCUAUUACUACUUGGUAUUGCCUGAGAAAGGUGUGCAUUUCAGAAGGCGCAUUGAGUUUUGACUUACGGAUGCUUUAUUGAUAUUGCGGUGAUCACCUAGUUAAUCGAUUGCUGAGAUUCAUAUUUUGUUAUGUGGCACGGAGGAAUUAUAGAAGUAUUCCUAGUGCGAUGAUCGUAUACGAGAGAUGUGUAGAUAUUUGGGCGGUGGAGUUGGGAUCAGGUAGGGUGAUUCAUGUGUUCUAUGGAUUUGGAGACUCGGAAUUCUCAGAAGUAGAUUUUUUCGUGAUUGUGGACUGUGAAAUAUGGCCAAAGCUAUCUAGAUGAUAGUAUGUGUUAUGGUUAUGUUGUUGUAGUCAUUUAGAGGGCUAUUUGUCCAUUCAUGGAUGAUCGAAGUUAAUUUGGGGGCCCAUUGGUAGGCGCAAUAAGGGGCUAUUACCACAUGUAUAUCGUUGGGUGGAAUAGAUGCUAUUCACACCUUAGUAUAUGUUAUAUGUUCACCAGCCCAUACUGAUUUCUAGUACUUUGGGGUCUAACUUUUCCUUCUGGUAGUCGCAUUGGAGUCGCGAACUUAUUUAUCGAAAUAAGGAUACAACUUUAUGGCCUAUACUCUUAUGUUGUCUCAAGGCCUGACACUUCUCAUCUUUUCCUUCCCUUGACCAUAGACUAUGUAAUACUCAUUUCAUCAUUUUUUUUCUACCGUUGUCAUCGAGGUAUCACAUCUUACUCAUAAUGCUUCAUUAAUUCUCUUCUUAUUUCCCGCUAACAUUAAUGUCCAUCACUAUAUUUUGAAAACUCGAACAAGAUAUUCUUUUGCUCUUAGCUCCCUUAGGAUCAUUUACAUACUUCUCACACUACCCACAUGUUCUAUUCAAACUUACAUAUCACUUAUCAAUUCAAUGUUUCUUUGGAGGUCAUAAUCAUUUUUAACACUUUCUCGAAUAAGGUAUGCUUCUGGUACUAUGUACGUACCUCAUAUAUUCGUACAAUUUGUUCAACAUGAUACAUGUGCCAUCUUCUUAAUAUUCAGGCCUUUGCAUAUUAGUCAUUCCAUAUGACAACAUUACUUGAAUUAGACGAAAGAGCGUUUAAAAUUACCAUGAAUCUCAACGCACGAGUUAGAAGACAAUCUCAUAGUCAAGCUUUAUUGCACGAUCUGCAGUGUUGAAGAAGGGUAACAUUCCUAAAUUCCCAUGUAGCCUCCAAAUUAUAGAUGUGGUCGAUAACACACCGAUGAGAAGGACUCUACAAGAUACGGCUCUGAGACAUUCUAGGACACUUUAAAACCAUAGGCUCUGAUACCAAGUUUGCCACGCCCCAAAAACCGAGGAGCGCGACCGGCGCUCAACCGGGUAGCCCCCAGCCAAGCGGACCUGUGUGCCUUUCCUAUUCCACGUGAUACCCUGUGUUUCCAUUACCCAUUAAUCAAGUAAAAUAGACAUUUAUAAAUUUAAACACAUUCUUACGAGAUUUACAUAACAUACAUAGUUACUUAGCGUGGUUUACAAGUUAUACUGCCCAAAAUACAUAAGUACAUAACCCACAUUUCCUGUCUACUGAGCCUCUAGAGAUACAGAAGAGUGUUAUAAUACUUGCCGGUAACAAGGCUCCGGCUAUACCUUACGCAAAUACCAAAAUAAAAUUUUUGGGAGGAUAAGCGGCAUGAGCCACGCAGGGCCCCGAGAGGAAAAGGACUCACCAAUUCAGCUUACGGGAGGUGAAGGAGUGCUACUGUCGGUGGGCUUGAGUACCUGUUAUGGAACCACCUACAAUCAUAACACGAAUGUAGCGCCCCCAGCAAAAGGGACGUCAAUACAUUUGAAUUGUACUAGUAUGUAUGAACAAACUAUACCCCAAGUAAAAUCAUGAAAUACACAGAUAACAAACAUUAAUAGAAUCAACAAUCAAAUGCACAUGAAAGGAACAACCAAAGCCAAAAAACUCCACAAUCUCUCCUUUUCCACUUUCAACAUUAUUUCAUCACAUCAAUGAUUUCACAACUUUCACAUAUUUUUAUUUCAAUAGUGAUUUUGAUCACUUUUCCAGCCUUAUUACCUCGGCCACCCUUAUCACCACAACCCACACCUUAUAACUUCGUGUUGCGGCGAGCAACCCGAUCCUACCGGACAAUUAUAUUUCACAUAAUAACAGUAGUUCACAGUUCAAUCACAUGGCUUCAGGCCAUCCAGAAUAUCAUUUCACAACGGCAACAGUUCACAAGAAUUUUCAUAAACAUCAAUACCAAUUCCAUCAUAUACAAUAACCCGUAUACAAUUCAAGUCACAACGAUAACUGCCCACAACAAGUCACAUAUGAUAUUACCACCGUUAUUUCAAUUGCAUCAAUUAUGAUUUCUUUUACACACACUUGGUUUGUUGCCAUUUAUUUACACCACUAUACACAUUCCCACGUUUGGACACAUUAAGAUUCUUUCAUCCGUUAACACAUACUUCCAUGUCGACAUCCUCAAGCAUUUACAAACUUUGCACAUAAUGAGAUAGGCACAUCAAAUCAUUUCUCACAAUCACAUAUAACUUGGUGGUAUGGAAAUCAACUAAGUCAAUCAAUUCACAUAUUUUCAUAAAAGGUACACAUACUGUAUGCUCAUCAUAACAAGGGGAUUCUACAAGAGUUAAAGUUAGCCAUACAUACCUCAAAGAGCUUUUUCUUAAGUUACUACAACGUUCCGGAAAUUCUAGCCAUGCCCAUCUACUUCGAGACAUAACAAAAUUUAACACAAAUUAGGAAGAUAUUCAUAAUUCUAGCUCAUUUGAGAACUUUAUCAAAUACUAGUUGAGCAUCUUGAUUUCUAAUCUCUUUUACAAGAUUUCCUUCAUUCCCUAACACAAUCUUUACUUAUUUAUGUUCAAUAAUCUUCCCAUAAACCUAAGUUGUACAUGCAUGUAAACAUAAUACUAAUACACCCAAGAAUUAUACCUCAAUAUCCCAUCUUAUACUCCAAACUCGAAAUUAAAGUCUAGGGUAUAGAAUCUUACCUCUUAAAUGAAGAAAUUGUGAUUGGGUUCUUUGAUUCUUGAAGAUUGAUGCAAGAUUUGGAUGAUUUAAAUGUUGGGUUCCUCCUUAUCUCUCUAAAAUGCUCUCACCUCUCUCUAAAAUCAGUAGAAAAUGACCCUAAAUGAAGCCCUAAAGGCUAUAUAUUAAAAUGGGGUCGAGUUAUAAAAAUUAGAAAAUUAACCCUCCGAUGUCAAGUAUGCGAUCGCAUAAUCCACCGCAGAAUGGGUAUGCGGGCUGCAGAUUCAUUGCAGAACUCGUUGCCCAGAACAGGGUUGUUCUGCUUCAUUCUGCGACCAUUCUGGAUCGCAGAAUGGUUUUGUGGUCUGCAGAGUUAAAUCUGCGAUCGAAGAUUUCACCGCAGAAUCGCAUUUUUCUAGCCUUUGGUAAUUUGAUCAUAACUUUGUGUACGAAUGUCCAAAUGAUGAACGGUUUGAAGCGUUGGAAACUAUACUCGAAGAGCUUUCAUAUGAUAGGUUGUUCAUAACAUAAACCCUUAUAUAUACUUAUAUAGGCUUGUUCAAAGUGGUGGCUUGUGCGAACUCAUUUGAAAUCUUAGCCUAUUAUGAACUUUUCCAAUUUUCCUUAGACUUAGGCCUUUCCUUGGACCCCAAAUUACUUACCAUAAGACUUGUACACAUAUUUACCAAAUCCAAUUGAUGCCCAUCAUGUUAAUAACACAUAAAAUAGUUUAAUAAGCCUACAUGGCACCACAAAAUCCUAGGUUGCUUAGCGAAAUUUUUCGGGGCCUUACAAGAACCAUGCUCAAAACAUCAUUGUACGCCGGAGCAAAACCGGCAAGGGCCAUAGAACCUUGGAUCUGUAGAGAUCUUAACGGACACCUUCGAGGUCAAACCUAGGACCUUCGAAUACCAAGUGUUUGAGAGCAGAGGGAGAUGAGUUUAGGCCAUCCAUGGCUUGAGAUGCCAUGGAUUUCGGUGAUCUUGAGGUAGAAGACAGUGAGAGAGGCUAGGGUUUCGAGAGAGUUUGAGAGGAGAGGGAUUUCAGAGGCUGCUGAUAGAAGAGAAUGAGGGGAUUAGGGUAGUCAUUGGGGAAUUAAAAAGGUAAGGAAUGAUCGUGGCCAUUGACCAAAAUAAUCAACAGCCUGGAUUAAAAGAGAGGGUUGGGCGGAUCGGAUAAACGGGUCAGGGGUCGGGUUAAAUUGAAAUUGGGUUGGGUAAUUUGGGAUUUGAAAUUGGGUUAUUUGGGGGAUCAAUUUGGGCUAUAAUUGAAAUAGCCUGUUUUUCUAUUUUUAUUUUAUAAAAAUAGUAAAAUGACUUCUGAAAAUAAAUUAAAGGUACUAAAUUAAUUAAUAAUAUAUAGAUAUUAUAUUAAAAAUGCUGGAACCAAUUGUAUAAUUAUACACGCAAUUAAAUCUUAAAAUAGGCUAAAAUUGCAAUUAAAUGCAAUUUAACUUUUAAAAUACUAAAUAAAUUUACAAAAAUGUGCAAAAUUACCUUAGCUAUAUUUUGGUAUAAAUAUGAGAAUAAAAUAAAUUAUUCACUAAAAUUAUAAUUUUGGGAAUAAUAAUUACUUUUUGUACUGCUAAAAUAGGGCAAUAAAUUGAUUUAAAAAUCUUUUAAAAUUAGGAAAAUACUAAAAUGUUUGGAUAUAUCUAUAUAUGCAUAUAUAUGAUAUUUUGAAAGUAUUUUCCAUAUAUAAAAUAUACAGGGAAAAAUUGGGUAUCAACAGCUACCCCUCUUUAUCCGGGAAGGAUGAAAGAGUUGUCGGGUAAAGAUAUGAUGGCCAAUUUGACCGAACGAAAUGGUUUGAAGAAUCUGACCGUGCUCUGGUUCCUGAGCUGCCUACAUAUCCUUGGUCUUACAGGAAUCAGGCCAUAUGUAGUUCAGGAUCCGUUGGCAGAAUAUGCCGAUGGAGAUUUUUUCAAGAACGGACGAGAUAUUCGGGUUGGGAUGGAUGAUUAAAGUCUAGCGGAGCUGCGGGAACUGGAGCGAGAUCGCUCCUACUGAGACGGCCGUUGCUAGCCGGUUUACUAUAAGUGUAUACUGUGUGAAAAUUUAAACAUGAUGCAAUUUCCCGUCGGACCAUGAAUGUUGUCUUCGUACGGUUAGGAUGACGUCCUCAGACCAUGACGUCUUGGGACAUGAAGCAUAUGAUAAGGAUUCGCAGGCCAUGAAAUUAUCUUCUCGGUCUAUGAGAAUGAUGUCUCCGAACUAUGAUGCCUUUGAAUAAUGAUAUGCAAUGAUGCCUCAGGCCAUGAAAUGGCGUUCUCGGGCUAUGAAAAUUGUGCCUCUAAGCAAUGACACCUUUGGAAAAUUUGGCGAUCUUUCAGCCCAUGAGAUGCAAUAGGUGGUGAUCUUUCAGCCAAUGAAAUUCAAUAAGUGGUGAUCUUUCAGCCGAUGUAAGGUAUAAAUGAAGCGGUGAUCUUUCAGCCAAUGAAAUGCAAUAAGUGGUGAUCUUUCAGCCGGUGCAAGUAUAAAUGAAGCGGCGAUAUUUCAGCCAUGCAGAUGUAAAUAAAGCGGCGAUNNNNNNNNNNNNNNNNNNNNNNNNNNNNNNNNNNNNNNNNNNNNNNNNNNNNNNNNNNNNNNNNNNNNNNNNNNNNNNNNNNNNNNNNNNNNNNNNNNNNNNNNNNNNNNNNNNNNNNNNNNNNNNNNNNNNNNNNNNNNNNNNNNNNNNNNNNNNNNNNNNNNNNNNNNNNNNNNNNNNNNNNNNNNNNNNNNNNNNNNNNNNNNNNNNNNNNNNNNNNNNNNNNNNNNNNNNNNNNNNNNNNNNNNNNNNNNNNNNNNNNNNNNNNNNNNNNNNNNNNNNNNNNNNNNNNNNNNNNNNNNNNNNNNNNNNNNNNNNNNNNNNNNNNNNNNNNNNNNNNNNNNNNNNNNNNNNNNNNNNNNNNNNNNNNNNNNNNNNNNNNNNNNNNNNNNNNNNNNNNNNNNNNNNNNNNNNNNNNNNNNNNNNNNNNNNNNNNNNNNNNNNNNNNNNNNNNNNNNNNNNNNNNNNNNNNNNNNNNNNNNNNNNNNNNNNNNNNNNNNNNNNNNNNNAUGGAGGUAGAGCUUAACCUCGGAAGGUAGAGUGGUAGACUUAGGCAGGAAGUAAAAUGGCAAAUGGCAAUAGAGUUUUCUUAGCUGAUAGCGGACUACGAUAUUGCGACUGCUGGGGAUACUAUGUCUGCUGGGGACACUGUGUGCGGAUAGCAGUUGUGAGUAAGUGCAACGGUUCUGAGAGUAGUAUUUCUGAGUAAUGUGACUCUCGUGAGUGUAUUGUAUAUUUGAUGAUUUUGCAACUCAAGUGCCUGUAUCCAAAGAAAAUCGUGAGUUUUGUAAAGGGGGGAGGUUAGUUCGUAUUCCCGCUAGCUCUGCUUGACUUGCUCGGCUCUGUUUCGGUGAUACUAUGCGUAUCAUUGGGGUAGCGUUGCUAAACAAAGCAACUUCGGUAACAAACAUGCAUGAUCUAGUAAAAAAUAUAACAUAAAUACAUAAUCGAGAAUAGUUUUCCUUAGAUGAACCUACGACUGUGAUGUGGUUCAAGACAUUACAACUUCUCUUGCUCAAGAAUUUUGAGGGUCCUCCUCAAAAUUCUAUCCCAGUUUCCAAUAUCUAGGAAAUCGAAAUCUUACUGCAUUAUGACCGAACACAUAGGGCUUCCUACGUAUCCCCUCUUAAACGGGAAUCAGUUUAGGCGUAGUUCAAGUUACAUCAUAAAAGAAAGCAUAAAGGUUACAUAUAGUAUCGCUUCAUUGCAUCUUAAUUGACCGGCUUCGGCCAAACUUCUCUGUUCAUUUUUUCAAGUAUGAGGGAUCCUCCUGUUAGAACCCGGUGGACCAUGUACGGACCCUGCUAGUUGGGAGAGAACUUCCCUUUGGCCUUGUCCUGAUGAAGGAAAAUAUUCUUUAACACUAGCUGCCCCGGUGUGAACUGUCUCAGCUUGACUCUUUUGUUGAAGGCUCUGGACAUUCUGUUCUGAUAAAGUUGAUCAUGGCAAACUACGUUCAUUCGUUUUCCAUCUAUAAGAGCUAGCUACUCAUAACGACUCUUCACUUAUUCUGCAUUGUCGAGUUCUGCUUCCUGUAUGAUCCUCAAGGAAGGAAUUUCUACCUCAGCAGGAAUGACCGCCUCUGUACCAUAAACCAGCAUAUAGGGAGUCACUCCGGUUGAAGUGCGGACUGUAGUACGAUACCUCAAUAAAAAUGAUAACUUCUCGUGCCACUGCUUAUGCUUCUCUAUCAUUUUCCUUAGUAUCCUCUUGAUAUUCUUAUUGGUGGCCUCUACGGCUCCGUUCAUCUGAGGUCUGUAGGCUGUAGAAUUCUUCUGUUUGAUCCUGAAGGUUUCACACAUGGCUUUCAUCAAAUCACUGUUGAUAUUGGAACCAUUAUCAGUAAUGAUUGAUUCUGCAAUUCCGAACGGACAAACGAUACGGUUGCGGACAAAGUCUGCCACAACUUUCUUAGUCACUGCCUUGUAUGAUGCUGCUUCAACCAAUUUGGUGAAAUAAUCAAUUGCCACAAGGAUGAACCUAUGCCCAUUUGAUGCGACAGGUUCGAUUGGUCCGAUAACAUCCAUUCCCCAAGCGGCGAACGUCCAUGGUGAGCUUGUUGCAUUAAGCUCGUUUGGAGGAACCUUUAUCAUAUCUGCAUGUAUCUGACAGCGGUGGAACUUCUGGACAUACUGGAUGCAGUCCGUUUCCAUAGUCAUCCAAAAAUAACCAGCUCAGAGUAUCUUCUUGGCUAAGACAAAGCCAUUCAUAUGUGGCCCGCAGGUCCCAGCAUGGAUUUCUUCUAGUAAUUUAGAUGCUUCCUUUGCGUUGACACACCUUAGUAAUCCCAGAUUUGGAGUCCUCCUAUACAGGAUUCCUCUGUUGUGGAAGAAAAUGUUGAAUAAUCUUUGAAGUGUAUGCUUUUGAAUAGGGUUUGCAAGCUCUGGGUGUUCUCCUUUCGCCAAGUAUUCCUUGAUAUCAUGAAACCAAGGUUUUCCAUCCACUUCUUCUUCGAAGUGAGCACAGUAAGCUGGCUGAUCGUAGAUCUUUACUAGAAUAGGGUCAAAGAAAUUCUUAUUUGGAUGAUGUAUCAUGGAUGAUAGGGUAGCCAAUGCAUCGGCAAAUUCAUUCUAGACACUGGGGACAUGCUGGAACUUUGUCUUUGUGAACCUCUUUCUCAACUCCUACACAUGAUACAGAUAAGGGAGUAUCUUGGAGUUCUUGGUUGCCCAUUCUUCACGGACCUGAUGUAUAAGCAAGUCUGAAUCCCCAUUCACUAGCAACUCUUGGACGUUCAUGUCAAUGGCCAUCUUGAGUCCCAAGAUGCAGGCCUCGUACUCAGCCAUGUUGUUGGUGCACGGGAAUCUGAGUUUGGCAGACACCGGAUAAUGCUGACCGGUUUCUGACACUAGGACUGCUCCUAUAUCAACUCCUUUGAAAUUUACUGCUCCUUCGAAAAAUAUUCUCCAACCAUCAUAGGAUUCUGCAAUAUCUUCUCCUGUGAAUGACACCUCUUCGUUAGGAAAAUAUGUCUUUAAGGUUUCGUAUUCUCUGUCCACAGGAUUCUCGGCAAGAUGAUCUCUCAAAGCCUGUCCCUUGAUUGCUUUCUGAGUUACGUAGACAAUGUCGAAUUCACUCAGCAGGAUUUGCCACUUGGCUAGCUAGCCAGUGGGCAUGGGCUUCUGAAAAAUGUACUUCAACGGAUCCAUCCUUGAUAUGAGAUACGUGGUAUAGGCAUAGAAAUAGUGCCUCAACUUCCGAGCUACCCAAGUCAGAGCACAAUAAGUGCAUUCUAACAGAGAAUACCGGGCCUCGUACGGGGUGAACUUCUUUCUAAGAUAGUAGAUGGCCUGCUCCUUCCUCCCUGUUUCAUCAUGUUGCCCAAGAACACAACCAAACGCUCCAUCUAGCACUGCAAGGUAGAGUAAUAGGGGUCUACCUGGUUCGGGCAGGACCAAAACUGGCAGUGUUGACAGGUACUCCUUGAUUCUGUUGAAGGCCCUUUGGCAGUCAUUAGUCCAUCUGGUAGCGGCGUCCUUCUUCAACAUCUUAAAUAUUGGCUCACAGAUGAUAGUAGAUUGAGCUAUGAACCGACUGAUGUAGUUGAGUCUUCCCAGGAAACUCAUCAUGUCCUUUUUGUUCUUUGGCGGUGGCAAUUCUUGAAUGGCUUUAACCUUUGAUGGAUCUAGUUCUAUUUCUCGGCGAGUUACAAUGAACCCAAGUAGUUUUCCCGUAGGAACCCCAAAUGCACAUUUCGCGAGAUUCAGUUUCAGGUUGUACUUUCUUAGUCUGUUGAAGAACUUCCUCAAAUCUUCCAUGUGAUCAGUGGCUUUCUUGGUUUUGAUGAUGACAUCAACUACAUACACCUCGAUCUCCUUAUGUAUCAUAUCAUGAAAAAUGGUAGUCAUGGACCUCAUAUAGGUGGCCCCUGCAUUUUCAGGCCGAAUGACAUCAUCUUGUAACAGUACACUCCCACGGCGUAAUGAAAGCCGUUUUCUCAGCAUCUUCUUCGUCCAUCCAGAUCUGAUGAUAUCCAGCAAAGCAAUCUACUAAUGAUUGCAACUCAUGCUUGGUGCAAUUGUCGAUUAGGAUGUGUAUGUUCGGCAAGGGGAAGUCGUCUUUNNNNNNNNNNNNNNNNNNNNNNNNNNNNNNNNNNNNNNNNNNNNNNNNNNNNNNNNNNNNNNNNNNNNNNNNNNNNNNNNNNNNNNNNNNNNNNNNNNNNNNNNNNNNNNNNNNNNNNNNNNNNNNNNNNNNNNNNNNNNNNNNNNNNNNNNNNNNNNNNNNNNNNNNNNNNNNNNNNNNNNNNNNNNNNNNNNNNNNNNNNNNNNNNNNNNNNNNNNNNNNNNNNNNNNNNNNNNNNNNNNNNNNNNNNNNNNNNNNNNNNNNNNNNNNNNNNNNNNNNNNNNNNNNNNNNNNNNNNNNNNNNNNNNNNNNNNNNNNNNNNNNNNNNNNNNNNNNNNNNNNNNNNNNNNNNNNNNNNNNNNNNNNNNNNNNNNNNNNNNNNCCUCCAGUGAUGUUGCUCGAUACAUAGGCCUCACUCAGCACCUUUAACAAGGCGUUCUUAUGUGCAUCGGAGCUUUGCAGUAAGGCUAGGAUAGAGAUCUGUGCCGGUGUUUUGUUCAACUGAUCAAUGACUGCGUACUCCUUUGCUUGUAUUUUUCUCCAGAGAUCAUCGGGCCCAGCUUCAGUGAUAGUCGGCCGUCCAAAGGCCUGCUUGCUUUAUUCAGCCAAAUGUUCCGGGGUGUAUACUCUGCCGGUUCUUGUCAUACCCUGUGCCGUAACUGCUUCUCCGGAUUUGGCUUUCCUUUCCUUCUUGCCUCAGCUGUGUAGUCCCAAGGGAUGGCCUUUGUAUGGAAUGGUGUUAUAGCCGACAUUUCUACUGGAAUGGGCGCCUUUACCCCAAACAGAGCAUGUAUUUUGGAUGGUAAAACCAUAACUUCAAACGGCGCGGGUGUGUUUGCUGGAGACCCAAACUCGACCUCAAUUGGUGUCGGCAUCUUUGUGGGGGAGAGCACUUCAAACUCAAGUGGUAUUGACAUAUUCACCUCAGUGUCCCCAGAAAGCUAGAUCUAGACUACAAUCGGAUUAAGGGUGACUGUCAGUUUCUUUGGAUCGUCACCUUCUGUGAUCAAACCGAUCGAUCCCUUGGGGUCCCAAUCAUCUUCCAUCUCAAUCAUGUGAAUGCCUCCACCCUUGUGGUCGGGCAGAGGGUUGUUGCGGACAUUCGGAGUAGGAUCCUUUGCUACAAUAAUCUUGUUAUCAAUCAGUGCCUGGAUCUUAUCUUUCAAAGAACGACAUUCAUCAAUGGCAUGCCCUUUCAUGCCGGAAUAGUAUGCACAGGAUUUAUUUGGAUUGACCUAUUGGGAAGGGUUUUCAGGGGUUAUAGCAGAGAUGGGGGUGACAUAACCAGCAGCUUUGAGCCUUUCAUACAGCUGGUCAAUUGGUUCAGCAAUGGCGGUAUAUUGUUUGGGAGGUCUGCGGUCGAAAUUCAGUCGAGGUCUAGGAAAGUUUUGGCGCGUGGGAGGUGAUUAAUAGUGAGAGGAUUGAGCGUUGUAGGCUUGGUAGAUAUGUGUGGGUGAGGAAUAUCUGGGUGAAGUAGGAUAAUAUGUGGGAGGUGGAGGUGAUUGAUAAGUAGGUGGUAGAGUUUGGUAAGAGGGCGAGGGUGCUUGGUAAAUUGGAGUAGGUUGAUAUGUGAGUGGAGGCAUCGAGUAGGUUUGGUAUUUGAUAGGGGAUUUGGUUCUCUGUGCAACCAUUACGACACUCAUGUCCCUUUUCUUGGACGUGCCACCAGACUGUAGAGCCUUGUUGGUAGCUUGCAAGGCUUCAAAGUUUGUGACCAUACCACUUUUGAUGCCUUCCUCGAUCCUCUCACCUAGCUUGAUGAUGUUAGAAAAUUGCUGGCUUUCAAUCAGCAUCAACCUUUCAUAGUACUGUGAGUCUUGAGCUCGGACAAAAUACCUGUUCAUUUGUUCUUCUUCUAAAGCCAGUCUGAACUUAGCAACUUCUGAUCUCCAGCAAGUAGCAUACUCGCGGAAUAUCUCCGCGGGUUUCUUCUUUAGGUUCUGGAUAUAGAACACAUCUGGCGCAUUUUCUGUGUUGAACCUGAACCUGUCCAUGAAAUCAGACGCCAUGCUUACCCAAUUCGACCACUUCUUCGGAUAUUGGCUAAUGUACAAAGACAGAGCAUCUCCUUUCAGACUCCUCAUGAAAAGUUUCAUGCGGAUCCUUUCGUCCUUUCCUACUCUGACCAGCUUGUCACAGUAUGUUCUCAAAUGAACUCUCGGAUCUCCUGUACCAUCGAACAUCUCGAAGUUCGGAGGUUUGUACCCCUCGGGUAGUUCAACAUCGGGCUGUAGUUCUUAAGCUCUUCAGCUAGAACCAUGCUCAAAACAUCAUUGUACGCCGGAGCAAAACCGGCAAGGGCCAUAAAACCUUGGAUCUAUAGAGAUCUGAACGGACACCUUCGAGGUCAGACCUAGGACCUUCGAAUACCAAGUGUUUGAGAGUAGAUGGAGAUGAGUUUAGGCCAUCCAUGGCUUGAGAUGCCAUAGAUUCCGAUGAGCUUAAGGUAGAAGACAGUGAGAGAGGCUAGGGUUUCGAGAGAGUUUGAGAGGAGAGGGAUUUCAGAGGCGGCUGAUAGAAGAGAAUGAGGGGAUGAUGGCAGUCAUUGGGGAAUUAAAAAGGUAAGGAAUGAUCGUGGCCGUUGAUCAAAAUGAUCAACGACCUGGAUUAAAAGAGAGGUCCAGGCGGAUCGGAUAAGUGGGUCAGGGGUCGAGUUAAAUUGAAAUUGGGCUGGGUAAUUUGGGAUUUGAAAUUGGGUUAUUUGGGGGAUCAAUUUGGGCUAUAAUUGAAAUAGCUAGUUUUUCCAUUUUUAUUUUAUAAAAAUAGCAAAAUGACUUCUGAAAAUAAAUUAAAGGUACUAAAUUAAUUAAUAAUAUAUAGAUAUUAUAUUAAAAAUGCUGGAACCAUUUUUAUAAUAAUAUGCACAAUUAAAUCUUAAAAUAGGCUAAAAUUGCAACUAAAUGCAAUUUAACUUUUAAAAUACUAAGUAAAUUUAUAAAAAUGUGCAAAUAUUACCUUAGCUAUAGUUUUGUUUAAAUAUGAGUAUAAAAUAAAUUUUUCACCGAAAUGAUGAUUUUGGAAAUAAUUAUUAGUUUUGUACUGCUAAAAUAGGGCAAUAAAUUGAUUUAAAUUUUUUUAAAUUAGGAAAAAUACUAAAACGUUUGGAUAUACCUAUAUAUGUAUACAUAUGAUAUUUUGAAAGUAAUUUGCAUAUAUAAAAUAUACACAAAAAAAUUGGGUAUCAACACCUACAAGCACAAGGACGUGAAGGUAAGAAUUACGGAUAAUUAUAUGUGAGUAAGAACAUCAAAAAUUCCAUCGAGUAUGCGAUGUAAUAAGCUCGCAACUUUAAAAGAGUCAAAAGGUCAUCCCUAUGUACUACGACGAAAGACUAACUAAGGAAAUAAGGAAGAAGGCUUCAACCUAAACGUGGUAUCUCGCAGAAAACAAAUGAUCAUGUAAAAAAAAGUCUCACUAUAACAGGCUUCUUAUUGACCAAAGGGCAAAGGAGCCCCAUGUAUAUCUUGCCCUUAACCCAAUAGAGAAAAUUGCUUAAUGAAAUUUUGUAUGGCUGGUUGUCUUGACAUAUCUGCGGUAACAGGCGAGUCGAAGCCGAAGCUACGAAAGCUACCUCGAGAGACAGGUAACCUUUGUUUCGAGGGGAUGCACAUUUCCUAUUCUAUCUUCUGAGAUUAAUAUUUUUAUACUUUGGUUGCAGAGAAAAAUAGAGGACCUGCAACUCCUUUAGGGCGAAGUUGGUCAGGCCAUGUACGAGUGUAAUGAGCUAACGGCUAGAGGCAGAUGCCCAGGUUGCAGCCAAGAAGAAUGCUUUGGCCAAAGCUUCAGCCCUCGAGGUGAAACUUUGGAAUGCUCGUGAAAAUAGCUCGAUCCAAACGAGUAUGAUUGCAAGGCCGAGGUCAUGAAUGCCCGAGCUGAAGCUGAUGUGAUUCAAGCUAAGGCCGACAAGAAAGUGGUCGUUUAUUUAAAAGAUGAUGUUGAUGCUUGGGCUGAGUUGAGAGGGGCUUAUGAUCGAGAGAGCCGAAGCAAUGAGUAUGCCCGGUGCAAAUCUCAGAGGGAGACCAUCAAAUAGAUCCACGCACGCUAUAAAAAAGUGGCACCUACCAUGGCUAGAACUGGAAGUAAAGUCAAAAGUAAUAUUCGAGAUCAUAUGAGUUGCACGAAAAUUCCGGCAUGCGUGGGAACUAAGAUAAUCUAAGUAUACACACAACAAGGAGGUAGAAGACCAGGAAAAGUAAUACCUUAUGUUUAAAGUAAGUUGAGAAGGAACUAUUCGAUCACUGAUCUAGAGUUGGUUACAUUAUGAAUGCACUUGCGAUUUUGGAGUAUACAUAUAUGUUGACAAUCAUACAGCCGUAGAAGACUCUAAUACAAUUUAAAAAAAAAAUUGAGUCCAGGUUAUAGACAUAAAAUUUAACUAUUAGAAGAUUAUAUCCGCAGUAUUCCAUAGCAUCCAUGAAAGGCUAAAGUAAUACCAUGACCCGCAGAUCGGAAUAUAGCUUAAGCAUAAAGGCUGGUCAUAAGGAGGAGGAAACUAAAGAGUUACAUCAAUGAAGUAAAUUAGGAAUCUGAUUAUUGGACCCAAAGAGUUAUAGACCUCGUGAUUAAGAAUAUUGCAGGAUUACUCUUAGAUAUUAGAGGUACAAGAGAGAUAGUACAGUAGCCAUAUUCUAUAACGGCUCUAUGAUAAAGCCCGUUAGAAGAGUACCAGCCUCUUAAGAUGUCACUAUGAAGCUCCCAUCGGAUUGUAUAUGCACCAGAGUUGCAAGUAUUAUAAUAGAGCUUCAAGUUAUGGAUGUGAAUUAUACCUAUGUGGAAGAAAGGUCAUGAAAGAUAUACAAUAUGUAAUGCAAGAUUGUAAGGUAAGUAAGGUAAAGGUAAACAACGUACGAGAUACUCAUAUAUAGAAGUUUGUGAAUAGUCCAUACUUCAGAUAGAAGGCUAGAAGCGCAGGAAUUCAGUAUCAAUAGUGGUGUGGACAGUAGCAUAUCUUCUAGCCUAUGGUGUGUAGGUACCGAGAGAUCUAGUCAGGAGAAUAAAGAAAGUUAAAGACGAUGCGAUGUCUCGCUUGAUAUUCCAGAAUAACACAAGGAAACCUAUAAUGCAAGCAAGUUUAAAGAAGGUUGCGAGUAGUAUAAAUAGAUAUAUGUAGGUCACAAGCUAAAGUAUGGUAAAGUGAUAAGGUUUUAGGAAGAUAGGAGUAAGGAUAAGAAAGGACAAGUAAGAAGGUGACGAGAAUGGAUAUGUCCUCAAGAUUAAGCCCAUUAAAAUAAGAAGAGAUGAUGGUUUCUCUAUGUCAUACAAAGCUCAUUAUAGCUUGAAUGAACCCAAAGGAGUCUAAGACUAGUAGCAUUUAGAAGAAAUGGAAUGCUGCCCUUGUAGUAGAAUAAGGGUGUAAUUGUGACCUUCGAUUGAGUAAUAAUUUGAAGAGGAUUUCAUGAAUUGUACAGGAUUAAAAUACCUAUGUAAGGUAAAUCACACUGGGAUACUAUGAAAUACGAUUAUGGAAGCAUGGUAUCGUCCCUAGGUGGAUUAGUUUAAUCACUUCAAAUGUUCCCCAAUGAGACGUAAGCCCUAGCGGCAAGGUAUUAUGUAAGAAGUUUCAGUUAUAAGUGGUAGAUUGUAGAUUGAUAUUGAGGUGAAUCAGCAAUGGAUAGAUAAAGGUUACAAAAUAGGAAAUGAGGUUAGGCCAUCAUUCUUAAGAUGAACAGUAAUGAGGAAGCAUUAAAGGACUUAGACUUAUGCAUAUAAGAUAAAUAACGAGAGUAAGCUGGAAUUUGGUAGCAGACCUCAGCAACGAUAAAUCGAAGUAAAAGUUACGGUAUAGUAUGACCUAUCUUGAUGCAGUAAAGUCAUAUGGAUGGAUAAAUGGACCUAUGAAAUAAUAUAUAGCAAUAUUCGUAAGUUUAAAAAAAAUAUCGAGCAAAGAACAUCAUGUAUACCUAUAGAUGCCCAGAUGGACAUCUUGUCAAGCACUGUAUAUGUUUACGAAAUAAGUCCUAGAGAUUGGCUAAAAGCUGUAGGAAAAAGGAGAGAAGAGUCGCAUAGGUGCACUCACAAGUCAGAGUUGUACAUGCUGCAUAAUAAAAGGAAGCAAUAGUUACAAGAUUGGAAAUAAUUCUGACCACCAGUCGUGGUGUGAAAAAGAGGCUUAAAGGUUGGAAUGCUAAAAGAACAGUUGCCAAGAUGGCAAGGAGAGAACUAAAUUAUUCGGAAGACAUAAGUCAUGAAAAUGAUAAGUGAUGUCAACAUUCGAGGACGAAUUUUUCAAAGGGAAGAAUGAUGUUACACCCCAUGUUUUCAUACGUAGAAGUACGCCAUAAGUAAAUUGGUAUAAGCUCGAAAAUGAGAUGUUACAUCCCACAUUUUCGUAUGUUAAAGUUUUGUCUUAAGUUAAUCGACGUAAGUUCGGGAAUGGGAUUAUUUUAAGAUUAUAAGCAUUAUGAAAUUUCAAACAAGUGAAGAGUAAAUCCGUGAAGGUGAGAGGGUAAGCAAAUCGAAGAAAAUAAAUUUCGUUGAAGUUUGAAAUGUUGAGAUAAAAUACGGCCCGAGCUAAAAUAUCCUAUAUUUAUGGGCUAGUGCCAUACAAGGUAUCACAUGACCAUGAUAGAAAUGUGUAUAAGGUGUGUUAAAAGUGAGUAGUAUUUUAAGUAAUUUGAGAUAAUUCUUAAUUAUGUGGAUAAUUGGGUAAUUAUUGGUUAAUGGAGGAUUAAUAAUGAACUAAGAUGUUGGUGAUUGAUUGGUUGAGAAUGGAUAAGCUAAAAGGUGGCAGCAAUAGAGGUCUUGAAUACAUGACUCAUUAAUCACAUGCCAAGGCUGCUUAUUUAUGAAAAUUAUGGGACUUAGUCAUCAAAGAUGUGGGGACCACAACCCCUUAGUAAAGACAUUUCAAAGAAUUAAGAAAAGGAUGUUUGAAUGAAGAACUCAAGGGCCACUGUUGGAGUAGCUCACAACUUUGAGAAAUUUCAUAAGUCUUCUCCAACUCAAAGUAACAUGAGGAAUAUUUUAUAACUUCUUCAACCAAUUCAUACCAUGAUUCUAACAUUAUAAAAGUGAAUCCAACGAGAUUCCAACGAAAUUUCUUAGCACCUUAGCAACAUGAGAUUUUGCAAUUAAGGAAGUACAGUGCAAUCUUUCUCAAGAAUAUCAUACGGAUUUCCCCCUACUUUGAUCUGUCGUUACGUGUUUCAUCGCAAUUGAUGUAUAUUAGAGGGAUUGUCAAGAAAAUUGACUCAGGUAUGCUAAGGCUAUCCCUUCUUUCUUUUUGGCAUGAUCCGAAUAAUACAAAUGAAACGAGCAAAAUACACAACUUUCAUAAAUGAUUCUAUUCAUAAAAAUACUAGAGGUGUCUAUAUUCUUGAUUCUCAUGUGAAUUAUUAUUAUACCUUCUGUUCAUGGGACAUAGAAAAAUGUGUAUUUGAUAAAGUUUAUCCGAAAGGCAUAUUGAUUUUUAUGGCAUUCCCAGAAAAUCUUAUUAAGGUAUUUCUUAUGCGUUUCAUGCAUUUAUACAUGUACAUUGACCCAUGACCAGAUGGUGUUAUAUAUGCGUAUAUAUGUAUAUGGGAUAUGGGAAAAAGUUACGGCUUUAUAUAUGCACCACCACCUGAUCAGCUGGUAUACGUUGAUGAUUUUGCCUACAGUAGACGAGAUGAUAUGAUAGGAUACCCUCAGAGGCUUGAUGAUAUUAUAAACACAUGUACUUAUGCACGACAUGAUAUUCAUACGCAUAUGCAUGACACUAUAAGUAUUUCAUGAUAUACAAAAUUGUCCAUACUUACAGGUUGGGUCAUGUACUCUAUAUUUCUUCCUUGUCUUUUACAUACAUAUGUAUGUGCCUUACAUACUCGGUACAUUAUUCGUACCGACAUCCCUUUUGCCUGGAGACACUGGGUUUCAUGUCCUCUAAGUAGGCUAUCAGCUCAGCAGAAGAUGUUGGUGCGCUCCAUUUGCUCCGGAGUUGCUUGUCUGGUCAGUAUGAUUUAGACCCUUAUAUUUUGGUAUGGCGGGGCCCUAUCCCGAACUUUAUUAAGUAUGUAAUAUUAGAGGCUUGUUGACAGAUGUCAUGUAUACGAAUGCUUGUAUGGCCUUGCCGGCCUAUAUUUUGAGUUUACAAAUGAACAUGUUGGCCUUAUAGGCCCGUAUGUCACAAGUAUAAUUUUUUUAUAUAUAUAUCAGGUUGGAUCAUCAUAUAUUGAGUAUUCCCCUAUGUUUAUUUUGGUUAGCCCAUGAUAGACCGUUUGACCCAUUUACCAAUUAAAGUAUAAUAAGAAAGAUAUGUUAUGUUGGUACUUGGUUAAGUAAUGUAUCGGGUGCUCGUUGCGGCCCAUAGGUUGGGUCGUGACACUUUUGUUGACUUUUUAGAAGUUGUAUAAGGAUCACAACUUUAUUGAUUGAAAUUAUUUUCUCUUGCAUUGUGUGAUGUAUUUAAGUCAUCAUUGGCUAGAUUGAGCCGAGCGGAGGUGAAUUUGUAAAGGAAAAAGCUAAAUUAAGUAUUGAGUUAGCCGAAUUGAGGUAUGAGUCUUACCUAACUUUGUUAAGGGAAUUUUUCCUACUAUUUUACAUUGUUUUCUAUAUGCGGGGGUGAUACAUAUAUGAGGUGACGAGCAUAUAUGCAUGUGCUAGGGUUAACCAUGCUCGGGGGUAAAUUAUGUUAUAAAUUUUGUCUCGUAGAAUUACGUGACCUUCUUGCUUCAUGCCUUACUUGACUCCUAGAUACUAAUAACAUAGUAUUAAAUGUUAGAAACCAAGACUUUGCUUAUUAUAACUUGAUCAAAUUUGAUGGAAUUCUAAGAAUACAUUGAUGUGUCUAUUUCGGUCAUCACUAUCUUAAUCAUUAAUACAUUGCUACGGUCGAUAUUCUUGAGAUACUAGAUUUUAUACUCGUGUUGUAGAUCAUUCGUGAGAUUUGUUGAAAUACUUCAAUAAUAAGGUUCUUGCGGAUUUAUUGAACUAUUGUUUGUUUUUAAAGUUGUGAUUGGGAUUCAAUUGGAAUAUUCGUUUAAAUACUCUCCUUGAUGUUAUCUAUGCUUCCUACCAUGUUUUCCAUUGAUAUACAUAUGCUUGGUAAGGAAGAGUUUAAAGCACGAAGGGUGAUGCCGUGCCAUGUUAUGUGAGUGUAAACCACAAAGGGUGAUCUCGUGCCAUAUCAUUGAGUGUAAUGCACGAAGGGUGAUGUUGUGCUAUGCUAUGAGAGUGUAAAGCACGAAGGGUGAUGCCGUGCCAUAUCAUUGAGAGUAAAAUCACGAAGGGUGAUGUCGUGUCAUUCAUUUGAGAGUAAAAGCACGAAGGGUGAUGACAUGCCUUUCAUUUAAGAGUAAAAGCACGAAGGGUGAACCCGUGCUAUUUCAUUUAUAUUGUCAAGCUUUUAUAUUAUCGUGAGUUCAUGGCACAAUGGGUAUUUCCAUGCAGACGAGGAUGAGGGACAUACAUUACGUUGUGAUAUAUGUUCCCCGUGUAUACGUUCAUACCUUUACCUUGAGUUGUUAUUAUCGUACUUAUAGAUCUCGUGUGACUUGUUGUUAUUGUCAUGUCCGUGAUCUGUAUCUCAACUGUUGUUGUGUUGAUCAUACGUUCUACUUACUUAACUUGCAAAUAACAUGCCUACUAUUGUUGUUAUAAUUACAUCCAUGUCGUAUCUAUUCUGUUACGCUUUAGUACAAGCCUUUUUCCAUGUUAGUCAUUCAUGCCUCUACUUUUUAACUUGUAAAGAUCAUGUGUUUCCUUCUUAUAUGUUAUACCUAUAUCUAGGCCUCCACCAUGCUAGUUAGUUGAAGUUAAUAGUCAGUGUCUUCCAAUUGCUGUCAUUACUCAUAUGUCUUCUGCCUAGUCUAUUAUUGUUUUCCACAUGUAUGUCCUUGUUCAUUAUGGGUGCUUGAGUAUUUCCUACUUUGUAAUCCCUGUUAUUGGUAUUUCUGUCAUUCGAUUGGUACUGUUAUACGUAUUUUGGUCAAGAUGAGAUAAAAGAACGAAGGGUAUUGUAGACAUAUAAUUUUUUAUCCUCCCCAAGAUUUUACACAUUUUAGCAUUUAAAUAUUUAGUUUAGGUCUAAUAUCGAUAGUUUAACUCGAUUUGACUCUUUUACUUUAUUUUUAUCACACUAUUCUACUAGGAUUCUAAUUUUUAUAUAAUCUUGAAAAAAUACCAAAAUAGUUUCACAAUAUAAUAUUGUUUGUUUUAAUUAAUUAGAAUUAGUUUUAUAUUCUUAUAUUAUAAAUUUUAUAUUAUUUUUAGAAGGAAGAGUGAUUUUUUGGUUGGUGUAUCCAUUUUUAAUGAGAGAGAUCCAUUUUUAAUCUUUAAGCCCAAUUUUGAAGCCCAACAAGACCUAACCCACUACUCCCUUCUUCUUUAACCCUUACAUCCUAACCUUUCUUCAUCAUCUACACACUACCAAAACCCUAGAACCCUAGACAAAAAUCCAGCCAUCAUCCUCAACAGACCUAAGACUCCCCACCGACGUUCCCUCUUCUUCAUCUUAUGAAGGAACCCCCAGCCGUGGAUUCUUCUUCUUCUUCUAACCCUUUAACACCCCUAAAAAACCCUAGAAAGCCAUAAGUCAUGGACCCUUAGGAACGACCCCUCCAUCUCCCACGCCGUUCAACUUGAACCUUCCCUAGCACCAACCUGCCGCCAUCAACAAGAACACCAGCAGCUGCCAUCAAUCUUCUCAAACCCGCCGGAAAUCCGCCGGUGAACACCCACAACAACCAGCUACCUGCCACUUCCCUUCCUUUCUCCAUCUCCAGCGUCUAGCACACCCCAGAAUCCAGCAGCCAUCAGCAACCAAACACAAAAAUACCAUCCGCCCCAACUCCUCUCAAGCACCACGCCGGCAGACCCCCCCCCCCCCCCUUCAGCUAAUGAGCGCCAUUUUUUCUUUCUUCUUGAACGAACUCCAGCAGCAACCACCACACUUACACACAUAGCAACAAACCCAGAUCUGAAAUAAAUAAAUAUAUAUAUAUAUAUAUAUAUAUAAGAGCUUAUGUUUUUUUCAUUUUUUAAUUCGGUUUUGGUAUAAAAAAUCAUGGUAUUUGCUUGAGGUUUGGAAGUUUAUUGAUUUUGAUUGCCGGUUUGAGGUUCGUUGCGGUCAAAUUUGAGUUUGUCGAAUUUCAGUUCGUUGGUUUUAUUGCUGAUUUUCUGAUUGUGGUCCAAAAUUAGAUCUGAAUUUCAGUUCGUUGCUGAUUUGAGUUUGUCGAUUGAUCUUAUCCCGUUUCUCUUAUUUCUUUCUAUCAUGUGCUUGAUUUUAGAUAAUGACACUUUGUUGCGUAUUUGACAUGUUGUUUGUUUGCUGAUGUUUAGUUACUGAAGUAUAUCUUUGAAGUUAUUCUAGAUGAUAUUUUAAGUUUAAUUGGAUGAUUUGAGUUUGUAUUGUUAAAGCUUAAACAAAGAUUAAUCUAGGAAAUGAAAGUUGUUGUUCAUGGGCUGAUUUGACAAAUUGGGCAGUGGAGUUGGGUAUUAAAAUAAAAGAUGAUUUGAGUUUAAAAUUUUAUUAUUUUUCUUUCAUUAAUUGUACGGUAGGAGCAUGUUUAGGCCAACCACACAUGGGCAGGCAAAUUUUAGGAUUUGGUUAGUUUUGAGGUGAGAGAUCGUUCCUUUAGUUAAAUGCAUCCGGGGAAUGCCCCGAAGGAUUUCUAUAUAUUUUAUUCCGGGGAAUGCCUCGUAGUACUCUGUAAUUGGAGGCCAAAAGUAGGACUUUUAUUGUUCUAUUCUUGUUUUAUUUUUCUUUAUUAGGUCGAGACGACAUCAAACCUCGAGUGUGUUUAUUUUCUUUUCUGUGUUUUCCCUCAAUUAGAAUAUUUUAAAAAGUCAACUAGAUCAAGUAUGCAACCGUACUAGUUACGGGACUUGGGGAGUUCCUAAUACUUUCUCCUCGAGUCAAAUGAACCCCAUUACCCAAAUCUCUGGUGUAGACAUAGUUUUUGAGUCCAAAGUAUUUUAAAAGGAAAAUCAUUUAUAAAAAAACAAAUUGGUGACCUGGCACACCGAAACCAAUGUCAGGUGGCGACUCUAAAAAAUUCUUUUGAACAAAAUUUUGUCACUUUCAAAUUGAAAACCCUUUUGAGCUUUACAAAUCCUUUUAUUAUUUAUAAAAGGGUUAAGCGAGGUUAAAAGAAAAGGGGUGUGACAGCUCCGAUGACUCUACUGGGGAGUUGCAGGUUCGACCUGAUACUUGAUCUUGUUGGCUUUUAGGAUAUUUGGUUGAGGUGUUUGUUUUCUUUAUUUGCUUUGUUUGUCUUAUUUCCUGUUUUUUGGGUUAUUUGUUUAUCGCUUUUCCUCAUGUGUUACUGAUUUAUAAAUUGUCAUCAUUUGCAUAACCAUGGUCUUCUUUCUGCAACAAGUCUUCCGGGGUACGUUUGAGCGCACAUGGCCUUUUUGUGAGUCACCUGUGUCUUUAGGGGGUGGUGUGGGAACGUGGAGUAGGCGGACAGUUUGAGCGUACAUGGCCUUUUUGUGAGUCACCUGUGCCUUUAGGGGGUGGUGUGGGAGCAUGGACUAGGCGGACAACUAGAGCAGCCACCAUCGACCACGUGCCGCUCCGAAUUGCCUUGUCUAGUGAACCCUAAACUUAGGUCAGCCUUUAGGUCAUGGUUAUUUGCAUCAUAUCAUUUAGACAUAGUAGGGCUCGGUCCAGGUACCGUGUCCCCUUUUAUGAGGCCUUAUCCAAAUUACGUCAAAACAGGCUCAUGGCCCAAAAGACAUUUAAUCAUUCCUAUGUGCUAAAUGAUGCAUUCUUUAAGGGUAAAGAGGUUAUUUGGAAGACCAAUGAUGGUUGAGGGUACAAAGAUGAAGCAAGUAGGGCCCAGUUAUAUUUUUCUUUCACAACUUUUUCAAAAAAGACAGAAAAAAUGAAAAAUGAAUAAUCCAAAAAGAUUUUGCACUUUCCUACCAUUUUUCUAAAAAAAAUCCAAAUAGAUUUUACAUUUUCCAUCAUUUUUCAAAAAGACAAAAAAUUAUUGUUUUGCCAAAUUAGUUGCAUUUUUUUAAAAAGCUUUCUCCCAUGUCCAAUGUUCCCGAACUACGCAUACCUGAUUUUCGUCUUUCAGGGUGGGAUAUGUAGGCAUCUCACAUAGGGUCCGGUCUUCCUAGUAAGUCUUAUGUUCUUGCUUUGCGGGGUCUUAGCCAAAAUUUGCAGGUCUAGCCAUUUUUGUCCAUAUCGGCUAUUUCUACAAAAUAAGGUCAUUUUCGCAAAAGUGGAUCAAUGACCCAUAUCUUAGGAUAUUUAGUCCACAACUAGGUAUCAUAGUAUGUUAAGGUCCAUCCUUUUUUUUGAGUUUGCAUCUUCAGUCACUUCUGGCCAUAUCAGUCAUUUUUGCCAGAAUGGGUCAUUUCUGCAAAUUAAUCUAGGGCCAUGAUUAUUGGGAGUGUGAAUCCAUAUAAGCCUUAGUAAGGUAUUUCCAUAUCUGAGUAGUCACAUUUGUUGAGUUUGCACUUCUGGCCACUUUUGGCUACGUAGGUUAAUUUUCAAAAAUAGCCUAAACGUGUCUUGCAUGUGUCCAAUAGGAGGUAUUGUGGUGUUGCAUAGUGUCUUGAGUCAUUGAUCUAUUUGGUCUUACUUUUCUCAUUCAAGUGUGGAUCCAUGUACCAGGACUCGAGCAUGGCAUAUUCCCGAGGACCAUUGCAUUUUGAACCUUGUCUGAGGAAACUUUUAUGUUUUGAGUCUAUUUCUGUGGUGUUUUUCUUUACUUUCUAAUCAUGUCUAGCAGUAUUCAGUCCUUUAGUUGGUGUUAGAAUUUGUCGUAGUAUAGUUGAGUUUGUCGAGUCUCUCAUUAUCGUACUUUCCAUUUGUAUUUGAAAAAAAUAGUUAUAAAUAAAAAUAAAAAAAAUCCAAAAAGAUUUUUAUUUAGUUUAUUUUGUCCAUUACUUUUCCAGAUCUACGCUUGAUCUGAUUCAUGAGGGACAUGAUACGUAGGCAACCUACAUAGGGUUCGAUCAAAUCAUUAUUAAAAAAAACUGUUGUGAGAAGUGAGAGGAAAUUGCCGAAUGCAAGAAAAGAGCGAUAAUCAGAAAGAAAAGANNNNNNNNNNNNNNNNNNNNNNNNNNNNNNNNNNNNNNNNNNNNNNNNNNNNNNNNNNNNNNNNNNNNNNNNNNNNNNNNNNNNNNNNNNNNNNNNNNNNNNNNNNNNNNNNNNNNNNNNNNNNNNNNNNNNNNNNNNNNNNNNNNNNNNNNNNNNNNNNNNNNNNNNNNNNNNNNNNNNNNNNNNNNNNNNNNNNNNNNNNNNNNNNNNNNNNNNNNNNNNNNNNNNNNNNNNNNNNNNNNNNNNNNNNNNNNNNNNNNNNNNNNNNNNNNNNNNNNNNNNNNNNNNNNNNNNNNNNNNNNNNNNNNNNNNNNNNNNNNNNNNNNNNNNNNNNNNNNNNNNNNNNNNNNNNNNNNNNNNNNNNNNNNNNNNNNNNNNNNNNNNNNNNNNNNNNNNNNNNNNNNNNNNNNNNNNNNNNNNNNNNNNNNNNNNNNNNNNNNNNNNNNNNNNNNNNNNNNNNNNNNNNNNNNNNNNNNNNNNNNNNNNNNNNNNNNNNNNNNNNNNNNNNNNNNNNNNNNNNNNNNNNNNNNNNNNNNNNNNNNNNNNNNNNNNNNNNNNNNNNNNNNNNNNNNNNNNNNNNNNNNNNNNNNNNNNNNNNNNNNNNNNNNNNNNNNNNNNNNNNNNNNNNNNNNNNNNNNNNNNNNNNNNNNNNNNNNNNNNNNNNNNNNNNNNNNNNNNNNNNNNNNNNNNNNNNNNNNNNNNNNNNNNNNNNNNNNNNNNNNNNNNNNNNNNNNNNNNNNNNNNNNNNNNNNNNNNNNNNNNNNNNNNNNNNNNNNNNNNNNNNNNNNNNNNNNNNNNNNNNNNNNNNNNNNNNNNNNNNNNNNNNNNNNNNNNNNNNNNNNNNNNNNNNNNNNNNNNNNNNNNNNNNNNNNNNNNNNNNNNNNNNNNNNNNNNNNNNNNNNNNNNNNNNNNNNNNNNNNNNNNNNNNNNNNNNNNNNNNNNNNNNNNNNNNNNNNNNNNNNNNNNNNNNNNNNNNNNNNNNNNNNNNNNNNNNNNNNNNNNNNNNNNNNNNNNNNNNNNNNNNNNNNNNNNNNNNNNNNNNNNNNNNNNNNNNNNNNNNNNNNNNNNNNNNNNNNNNNNNNNNNNNNNNNNNNNNNNNNNNNNNNNNNNNNNNNNNNNNNNNNNNNNNNNNNNNNNNNNNNNNNNNNNNNNNNNNNNNNNNNNNNNNNNNNNNNNNNNNNNNNNNNNNNNNNNNNNNNNNNNNNNNNNNNNNNNNNNNNNNNNNNNNNNNNNNNNNNNNNNNNNNNNNNNNNNNNNNNNNNNNNNNNNNNNNNNNNNNNNNNNNNNNNNNNNNNNNNUACUUUCCAUUUGUAUUUGAAAAAAAUAGCUAUAAAUAAAAAUAAAAAAAUCCAAAAAGAUUUUUAUUUAGUUUAUUUUGUCCAUUACUUUUCCAGAUCUACGCUUGAUCUGAUUCAUGAGGGACAUGAUACGUAGGCAACCUACAUAGGGUUCGAUCAAAUCAUUAUUAAAAAAAAAUGUUGUGAGAAGUGAAAAUGAGAGGAAAUUGCCGAAUGCAAGAAAAGAGCGAUAAUCAGAAAGAAAAGAGAGGAAGGAAAACGAGCAAGCCAUGGAGUGUUAGAAAAGAAAGAAAAGAGAAGACUGAAAUGAACAAAAUUGAUAUGAUGCCAAAUGACAUUGUGACCCUCGAGGUCAUUCUAGAAUCGUUAAUUGUUGCUAGGUGCAUUGCAUGUAAUGUGAUAUUUCUAUCUUAUAAAUGCCCUAACGCUAAUAUGUUCGCUUUGUUUUGCUCCUUUUUGUUACUUUCAUUGUUAUCAUAACAGAGGGUGGUUUGUUUGUGGCACUUUGGUGAUUCAUCCAUACAACACAAGGUCAGAGAGCAAGGCAGCCAUGGCUAGCGAAGACGUGAACACAAGAGUUCUUGACCCCUCGAGGGAGAUUGUGGAGUCGGAAUCUGAAUUUAAAGAGGAGGUCCAAAGGCUAAAAUAACAAAUGUCUGAAAUGUGUCAAGCAUGGGCCAAUGGUCAAGGACCACCCCUUUCUUAUGUUUUCCCCGAGUUUACACCCAUCUCGACUACUACCACUUCGGUUUUAUUAUCUGAUCAAUUCUAUCCAUUUAGGUUCAGUCUUUAUCCCAAUUGUAUGACAAUAGCUGGAACUUCUGUUGCGUACUCCCAAAGUGUGCCAUUGACAACCAAUCAGACAACCGCUACAGUUAUGCCUGUCUUCACCAUCCCACAACCGACAUUGGUGCAGAGGAAAACUCAUGAGUCACAAUUUGCUACCCAGCAAGAACAGUACCACUCUCAUGAGUACCACUCUUACCUAUUUGAUCUUCCUACAAAGAUUGAGAAGCCUGGCCGAAAGAUAGUACCGGAAGAAAUACCCCAAAGACUUAAAACUUAGAACAAUAGUUGAAAAACAUACAAGGGCUGGAAGGUCAGAAGAGUAUUGCCUUCAAGGAUCUAUGUAUGUUCCCCGAUGUCCUUUUGCCACUUAGUUUCAAGACUCCCAAAUUUGAAAAUUAUGAUGGACAUGGAGACCCCGUAGUCCACAUAAAAAGGUAUUGCAAUCAACUAAGAGGUGCGGGAGGAAAUAAAGAAUUACUCAUGGCUUAUUUUGGAGAAAGUCUUACGGGUGUAUCUUCCGAAUGGUUUAUGGGUCAAGACACAUCCUACUGGUAUGUCUGGGAUUACAUGGCCCAAGCCUUUGUCAAAUAGCUCCAAUAUAACAUUGACAUCGCCCCAGACCGUAAUUCCCUUUCAAAUCUGAAGAAGAAACCAACUAAAAGUUUCAGGGAUUAUGCCAUUAAAUGGAGAGAACAAGCAGCUAGAGUUAAGCCACCCAUGGAUGACUACGAGCUAAUCACUAUCUUCCUUCAGGCUCAAGAUCCUGAUUACUUUCUAAACAUGAUGACCGCAGUUGGCAAAUCAUUCUUGGAAGUAAUCAACAUGGAAGAAAUGGUAGAGAAUGGCCUGAAGACAGGCAAAAUUAUAAGUCAAGCAGCUCUCAAAGAGGCAACUCAGGCUGUCCAAAUUGAAUAUGGUAAUUUUAGUGGCACGAAUGAGAAGGUUGAAGAAAUUAUGAUGACACCAGGGUCGAGAAGAGGUCCUAGAAGAACAUAUCGAAGGUAUGACCAACCUCGUUUGUUUUUUGACGAUUCCCAUGAGAACCCACAAUACUCUGCUGCUCCACCCCAGUAUAUUGUCCAACCACCAAGACACCCUAGAAGGCGAGUGUCAUCACCGCAAAAUCUCCAGAGGCCUCCACAAAAUUUUCAAGCUAGGGGUAUGUAGGUAAACAAAGGUUGAAAGAUAAUUUUACACCGAUAGUGUUACAUCUCGCGUUUUCGUACAUUAAAAUUUCGUUUUCAGUUAACCGACGUAGACUAGGGGAUGAGAUCAUCUUGAUGUUAAUGUACUUACGUUAUUUAUAUAAAUCGAUAAAUAAGUGUUAUGAAGGAUAAAGGGGUACACUGAUUAAAAAACAUGAGUUUUGUUGAAAAUGGACAAUUUAAAAUAAAAUACGGGUCAAGCGAUAAUACUCGAUAAUUAUAAACUAGUACCAUGCGAGGUACCAUAUGAUCACGGUAGUAUAAUGUAUAAAGAAUACAUGAAGUAUUUUAAAAAUAAAUAGAAUUUUAAGUAAUUUGUGAUAAUUUUUAAAUUAUACGGGUAAUUGAUUAAUUAUCGGGUAAUAGGACAUUCCCAGUUGACUAAUAAGCAGGCAAAAUUUAAUUAAAUAACCCCAAAGCCACGUGGCAUAAAGCCACGUGGCAUAAAGCCACAAUGGCUAAACAAUGACACAUAGGUCAUUAAAGCCAUGUGGCUAAAACCUUAUCCAAAUAAGACUUAGUGGAAAAACAUGAAACUAGAAUAAUUUUGUAUGUCUUAUCCUAAUGACUUGAUUUAAAAUGCAAAAGAAUAUCAUCUUGUCUUUGAAUCAGACAAGCAAACGGUAAAGAGAGACUUUCAUUCAUAAGGAAAUAAGCUUGAAGCAACAAAUCUUUAGCCAAGGAGUAACAAGCAGUAACGUUCUCAGAAGCAAGAACUUUGAAAUCAGAAAACGUUAGAGGCAAACACGAUUUCGUUCUAAUAUCAAAGAAUCCAGGUGUAAAUUUUGCAAAAACAGAUUCGUUCAAAUAAUUCAAGAAAAAUGUAUGUUUAGGCUAAGCUCUUCUUUCAUUUGGCAUGAUGUCAUUAUUACAUUCAUAUCCCGGAAUUUACGUAUAUUUUGCUAGUCUCGUAAAUUGCAUAUAUUUUUCUAGUGUUGUAAGUUAUAAUAUUCUCCUUAUCGGGACUUCAUAUUCAGUUGAGUAUUUCCUUCUUCCAGUCAAGAGAGCAGAGAAGUUUAUAUAUACAGUAUUAAAAGUAUUUUCAUUACCAUCGAGCUAUAAUCGAUGGGCAGGCCCCUGUUAGCUAACCACUGAUCAGAUGGUAAGUUAUAUGAUGAUCCUACUGUAGCCAAGCGCAUAUGAGCUACCCUAGUUGAUCGAGAUAUAAAGCCUAGUAUGGCCGAGCGCUUAUGAGUGAGCCUACUACGGCAGAGCAGAUAUUUAUGUAUACCGAGCCUUAUAGGGCCGGACAGCUAUUUUACUUACUAUGUUGAGAGAAUUGAGUCAGUAUCAACAGGUAAGCAUAUCUUCAGAUUAUCUUUGACUUCUAGCUACUUGCAGUUACUAUAUUAUCAGUUCAGUUUCAGCUUUCAGUAUAUUGCCUUACAUACUCAGUACAUUAUUUCGUACUGAUAUCCCUUUUUCGGGGGGCGCUGCAUUUCAUGCAUGCAGGUCAAACAGACAGACGAGUAGGACUCUUCAAUAAGUGUUACCCGAGUUCAGCUUGAUCGGUAAACUCCAUGCCUUUUGGAGUUUCCGGGUCUAGAGCCUUAUGUAUAUCUUGUAUAUAUACGUAUAUAUGUCAUGAGUAGGUCGGAUAGUUGUUCCGAUCACAAUAUAUCCAUUAGUAGAGGCUUGUAGACAUAUUAUGUCAGUUAGUGCAGUAUUGUGGGCUUGUAGGCCUUUUAGGUAUAUUUUAUUGGUUUGCCAGCUAUAGUAGUUAUGACGGCCUUGUCGGCCCAGCAUUAUAUUGAUGUUUAGUCAGUAUUUGCAAUUGUCUUGCAAUGUGGCCCAUGGCCAAAGUGUGACAUUAUAUGUUAAGAGUAGCUUAGUCGCAAGUUAGUACGCAAGGAUAGAUGAGGCACCGGGUGCCAUCUCGCCCCCCAGGUUCAGGGCGUGACAAAAGUGGUAUUAGAGUAGUUUUGUCCCAGGGAGUCUACAAGUUGUGUCUAGUAAAGUCUUGUUUAUGGGUGUGUCGUGCACCACACUUAUAAGUAGGAGGCUAUAGGGAAAUUAGAAUUGUCACUUUUUCUUCUUACUCUAGAUCGUGUGGUAGAGAUAACUUAUAAGAAUUCAAACUUCGAAAUUCUAUUUCAUUCAUAAUAAGACGAUAACUACAUCCGGAAAGAAGGUUGGAGAGAGAGAUAGUUGAGAAAGAGUUGAGUUAGAGGAAUUAGAUUUUUGUAUGAUGCCUACGAUAAGUAAAUGUGAGGUCUUUAGCAGAUCAUGGGUGUACUGAAAAGUGUAAGCUUCCUGAUAAGAAGCCUUAAGGAAAGAAUGCCUAUCCAUCUUUAUGGUGAAAAGACAACGAGAGAUUAAGAAGAUAAAUACAAGUUUCAACAAGUAGAAGAAGCAAGAUGAAGAAGGAUACGAGGCGCCCAGUUAAUGAAGGUUAGCAACGUUUAUAAUUGAGGUAGAGGAACAUGAGCUUUUUGAGAUAUAUUCAAUAGUAACAAAGGUAUAUACAAUUGGUUGCACCCAUUCUAGAAUGCCAUAUGGGGGUUAACAGAAGUAGUAUAAGAAGAUAUAAUGGAUGAAUUGUUUGCGUCAGUUGACAUUUUUGAAGGAUAUUACAAAUGUUCUAAUAGAUCUCUUUAUGAGACACCAAGAUGGUGCACUAUAAAAUAGUGCAGCCAGAUAUGAAUACUACAAUGAUAUGCACUAUAAGCCUUGAAGGGAUAAAUAUUACCUUGGUGUGGCUUGCGACCCUAGUAAAGUGAGAAUGUUAAGCAACUUGAAGAGCCACUAGAUGGAGCAAAGGAAAGCUAAAAGCGAAAAAAUGUCGUAUUAAAGUUUUCACAAGAAAAGGGAUAUGCAAAAAUAUUAGUAGAGUAAUGAGAAGAGAGAUAAGGAAGCAUUAUGAAUAAGGUGUGACACGUGGAUGAAAACGGUAGAGUGUUACAGAACCUAUAGUCAAAUGAAGGAAGAGAUGAAAGGUGAUUGGCCUUAAGACAACAAAAGAGUAUAGGCCAUAAGGUUAUAUCCUCAUUUCGAGAAAUAAGUUCGUGACUCCAACGCGACUAUCAGAGGAGAAAGUUAAUCCCCAGAGUAAUAGGAAUCAGUAUGGGCUGGUAAACAAGAUAAACUAAAUAUGAAUUAGGGACCGAAUGAUUGGAAAGUACUCGGCAUCAUGGUAAUUUUAGAUGUCGUUCCGGCGGUAAUAGAAUGGACCACAAAAGAAGAUUCAUGAGGAAUUCACAUAAUGGUCAUUCAGGAAGACGCUUCCCUAAAGCAAGCAAUGUUAGCAAAGUUAAGCUUAAGGGACUAUAUGUACCAGUUACAUUAUGUGUCACCCUCACGAGUAAGGAAAUUUGUCAUCCUUGGUACAGAAUGAUUGCCGCAAGGUAAGUAAGGAUCAUUGAUGUUGAGAAACGAUGCCAAAGAUGAAGAGGUAAAACAUCUAUAGGUAGAUCUUUGUGGCUUUAGCUUUUAGUAUGCCCCUAAAGGGGAAAUAUGGAGUGAUGUGGCAUUAAUUCAGAAUUAAGUGGUUCUAGUGACUAUGGAAUGGUAAAGGAAGAAUGCGAUAAAAAUGAGAAAAGGGAUGAGAUUGCACUUAUGCAAAUGGUACAGAUAUUCUACGAUUCCAAAACGUUAUGCAAACGCGACGUCAAUGAGAAGAACUAAGGGUUACUGCCCAAGAUGUCAUUGAUAAUCUAGUGCGACAUGUAAGUUAAGACCAAGGAAAUAACCCAAGAAAGAUUACGAGGAAUAUUGAUAUGAGAAUGGGCCAACAAGUAGUUAGUAAUUGGUUAGGAAGAUCCCAGUUAUGGAUAAACAGGAGGUUACAGACAAGUCAUCAGAUCGUGUAAGAUAAUCUUAGUAGAACCCAACAUGAAAAAUCCAGCCUCGAAGAAUAUCAUUAUAAUACUUGAGAGAUAUAUUCAAAUAAGAGUCAGGGUAGUUAAAGGUACCUUAUAAGUAUUAAAGUAUAAAAGAAAGUGCCACCGGGAAGAUAGUCAAAUAUUAGUUUUGAAGUAACCCUACAAGCACAAGGACACAGAGCUAAGAAAAUACAGAUAAUUAUAGGCAAGGAAGGACAUCAAAAAGUCCGUAAUAAUCUCACAUCUUUACAAGAGUCAAGGGUUCUCCCUAAGUACUACAACGAAAGACUAACUGAGGAAAUAAGGGAGAAGGCUUCAACUUAAGGACAAGGACCUAAAGAGGAAAUGGUCAUGUAACAACAGUCUCACAACAACAUUGUAAGCACUCUAAAGGAAAGUGGCACCUACUGUGGCUAAUGAACGGGAAGUAAGAAUUAAAAGUAAUAUUCGAGAUCAUAUGAGUUGUAUAAAAACUCUGGCAAAUGUGGGAACUAAAGAUAAGCUAAGUAUGGAUGUAACAAAGGGGCAGAAAGACUAGGAAAAGUAACAGCUUACGUUGAAAGAAAGCUAAGAUGGAACGAAAGAAUUAUUUGAUCAAUGAUCCAGAGUUAGUACGUUAUGGAUACACUCAAGAUUUUGGAGCAUUAUCCAUGCAGCAUAUUUGUUGACAAUCAUACAGCCAUAGAAAACUCUGGUAUAAGUUAAAAGAAAGAAUUGAGCCCGGGGCAUAGACAAAUGAUUGAAUUGUUAAAAGAUUAUAUCACGGAUAUUUCAUACCGCCCAUGAAAGACUAAGGUAAUAACUGAUACCAUGAGCCACGGAUGGGAAGAUAGCUUAAGCCUACGUAAAGGCUGAUCAGAAGGAAGAGGAAACUGAAGAAUUAUAUCACCUAAGUAAAUCAGGAGUAUGAUUAUUGGACCUAGAAAAAUUAUAAAAGUUGUGCUUGAGAACAUAACAGAAUCACUCUUAAUAUCAGCUGUUCAAGAGAAAUAACACAACAACCAUAAUAUAUAAUGGCUAUACAAUGAAUCCAGUUAGAAGAAGUACCAACCUCAUAAGAAGUCAGUACGAAGCUCCCAUCGGAUUGUGUAUGUACCAGAGGUGCAAGUAUUAUAAUAGAGCUUCAAGUUAUGGAUGUGAAUUACACCUAGGUGGAAGGAAGAUCGGAAAAGAGAUAGAAUAUACGAUGCAAAAUUUUAAGGUAAGUAAGGUAAAGGUGAACAACGUAUGAGAUACUUAAAGGCACAAGACCGUAAAUAGUCCAUAGUUCGGAUAAAAGGGGCAGAAGCAUGAGGAUUCAAUGUCCAGGAAUGAUAGAGGCAUCUUCACUGGCAUAUCUUCCAGCCUAUGGUUUCUGCAUAUCGAGAGGUCUAGUUAAGAGAGUAAAUAAGAGUUAGAGAUGAUAUGAUGUCUCGCUUGACGUUCUAGAAUAACACAAGGAAAUCUAUGAUACAAGCACAUUGAAAGGAGGUUGCGAAUAGUAUAAAUGGAUAUGGGUAAGUGGCAAACUAAAGUAUGGUAAAGCGACAAGGUUUUAGGAAGUUAGGAAUAAGGAUAAGAAAGGGAGAGUAAGAAGGCGACAAGAAUGGAUAAGUGCUCACGAUUAAACCUAUGAAAACAAGAAGAGCUUAUGGUUUCUCUAAGGUAUACAAAGCCAAGUAUAGCCUGAAUGAACUCAAAGGGGUCUAAGACUAAUGGCAUUUAGAAGAAAUGGAAUACUGCCCUGGUGGUAGAAUAAGGGUGUAGUUGUGAUGUAUAAAGAAUGACGUUUGGACCAUUGAUUAAGUAAUGAUUUGAAGAGGAUUUCACGAAUUGUACAAGUUUAAGAUUAAAAUACCCACGUAAGGUAAGUCACACCAGAAUGCUAUGAAAUACUGUUAUGGGAGUAUAGUAUCGCCCUAGGUGGAUCAGAAAAAUCAUUUCAAAGGUUCCACGAUCAACACAAGCCCUAGUGAUUGUAGAUCAAUAGUGAGGUGAAUCAACAAUGGAUGAACAAAAGUUACAAAGUAUGAGAUAAGAUUAGACCAUCAUUCUAAAGAGAAAUAGUAAUGAGGAAGCAUUAAAGGACUUAAAUUUAUACAUAUGGAAUGAGCAACGAGAGUAAGCUGGGAUUUGAUAGCAGACUUCAGCCACGAUAAAUUAAAGUAAAAGUUAUGGCGGUAAAUUUAUACGGAUGGUUAAACGAACCUAUGCGAUGAGAUAUAACAACAUUCGUGAAUUCAACCAAGUACCAAGCGAAGAACUUCAGUAUACUCAUAAAUGCCCAAAGGGACAUCUUAUCAAGAUCUACAUGUAAAGCCUAGAGAUUGGGAACACUUACAAGAUCAAAACUAUACAGGCUGCAUGAUGAAAGGUAGCAACAGUUACGAGAUUAAAGAUUCUGAAUACAAGUUGUGGUGUGAGAAGGAGGCCUAAGGGGGGAUGCCCUAGACUUUGGACCUAUUCACAGAACAGUUGCCUAGAUGGAAAGGAAAGUUCUAAAGUGUUCGGAAGAUAUAAGUUAAGAAAAUGAUAAGAGCAAUAGUCAAUAUUCGAGGACGAAUGUUUCUAAGGGGGGAAGGAUGUUACAUCUCACAUUUUCGUACGUUAAAAUUUCAUUUUCAGUUAACCGACGUAGACUCGGGAAUGAGAUCAUCUUGAUGUUAAUGUACUUACGUUAUUUAUAUCAAGCGAUAAAUAAGUGUUAUGAAGGAUAAAGGGGUACACGGAUUAAAAAAAUGAGUUUCGUUGAAAAUGGACAAUUUAAAAUAAAAUACGGGUCAAGCGAUAAAACACGAUAAUUAUAAACUAGUACCAUGCGAGGUACCAUAUGAUCACGGUAGUAUAAUGUAUAAACUAUAUAUAUAAAGUAUUUUAAAAAUAAAUAGAAUUUUAAGUAAUUUAUGAUAAUUUUUAAAUUAUGUGGGCAAUUGAUUAAUUACCGGGUAACAGGACAUUACCCAGUUGACUAAUAAGCAGGCAAAAUUUAAUUAAAUAACCCCAAAGCUACAUGGAAUGAAGCCACAAUGGCUAAACAAUGACUCAUAGGUCAUUAAAGUCAUGUGGCUAAAACCUUAUCCAAAUAAGACUUAGUGGAAAAACAUGAAACUAGGAUAAUUUUGUAUGUCUUAUCCUAAAGACUUGAUUUAAAAUGCAAAAGAAUAUCAUCUUGUCUUUGAAUCAUACAAGCAAAUGUUAAAGAGAGGCAUUUCAUUCAUAAGCAGGAACGGUUCUCAGAAGCAGGAACUUUGAAAUCAGAAAACGUUAUAGGCAAACACGGUUUCGUUCUAAUAUCAAAGAAUCCAGGUGUAAAUUUUGCAAAUGCAGAUUCAUUCAAUUAAUUCAAGAAAAAUGUAUGUUAAGGCUAAGCUCUUCUUUUAUUUGGCAUGAUGUCGUUAUUACAUUCAUAUCCCAGAAUUUACGUAUAUUUUGCUAGUUUCGCAAAUUGCGUAUAUUUUUCUAGUAUUAUAAGUUGUAAUAUUCUCCUUAUCGGGACUUCAUAUUCAGUUAAAUAUUUCCUUCAUCCAGUCAAGAGAGCAUAGAAGUUUAUAUAUACAGUAUUAAAAGUAUUUUCACUAACAUCGAGCUAUAAUCGAUAGGCAGGCCCCUGUUGGACAACCUAUGAUUAGAUGGUAAGUUAUAUGAUGAUCCUACUGUGGUCGAGCACAUAUGAGCUAGCCCAGUUGGUCGAGAUACAGAGCCUAGUAUGGCCGAGCGCUUAUGAGCGAGCCUAAUACGGCAGAGCAGAUAUAUAUAUGUAUACCGAGCCUUAUAGGGUCGGACAGCUAUUUUACUUACUAUAUUGAGAGAAUUGAGUCAGUAUUAGCAUGUAAGCAUAUCUUCAGAUUAUCUUUGACUUCUAGCUACUUGUAGUUAUUAUAUUAUCAGUUCAGUUUCAGCUUUCAGUAUAUUGCCUUACAUACUCAGUACAUUAUUUCAUACUGACGUCCCUUUUCUGGGGGCGCUGCAUUUUAUGCAUGCAGGUCAGACAGACAGACGAGUAGGCCUCUUCAAUAAGUGUUGCCCGAGUUCAACUUGAUCGGUAAGCUCCAUGCGGAGUUUCCGGGUCUAGAGCCUUAUGUAUAUCUUGUAUAUAUACGUAUAUAUGUCAUGAGUAGGUUGGAGACCCGUUCCGAUCACAGUAUAUCCAUAAGUAGAGGCUUGUAGAUAUAUCCUGUCAGUUAGUGCAGUAUUGUGGGCUUGUAGGCCUUUUAGGCCAAAGUGUGACAUUAUAUGUUCAGAGUCCCUUAGUCGCAAGUUAGUACGCAAGGAUAGAAGAGGCACCGGGUGCUGGUAUAGCCCCACAGGUUCGGGGCGUGACAAAAGUGGAGAGUCCUAUGCAAGCUUGUUUGAGAAAUUAAAGCACUAUGACAUGAUUGCACAUAUUCCUCCGUAUCAUGUUGACCCACGUGCAAGAAGCUUUGACCCUUCUAAAAGGUGUGAAUACCAUUCCAAUUCCUAGGGGCACAAUGUCGAAAGCUAUCGGGAUUUAAAAAGAGAAAUAGAAAGAAUGAUUCAAGAAGUUGUGAUCCAGGACAGUGACACCCAGAACAUCGCACAUAAUCCUUUACCUACACAUGAUAAUGGGGAGGAUGCAUAGUGACAGGGAGUAUGAGAAUCCUCUUGGAAACUUGCUUACUGAAGUUAAUGAUAUUGAAAUUAGUAAAGGUCCCAAUAAUUUUGAUAUGCAACCCAGUGGUUAAGAUGUAGAGCUCUGUAAUUAGAAAGACACUCCUUUCUUGGCUAGCUAGGGAAGAGUUUUGGUGGUUUAUUUUGUUGUCAUUUCUGUUGUCCGGGUUAUUUCAGGGUUGUAAUCCGGAUAUUGUCUUAUGGCUAAACCCUUCUUUUUCUUAUUUUGCCUAGUUCGUUUAGUGGUAGUAACUCAUCUAGUGUUAUCUUAGAUUAUUCCAGGGUUGUAACCCAUGUCCAUUUUGCUUGUUUUAUUUUGACCCUUUUCACCAUCUGUCGAAUGCAAUCUCUUAUUUUUUGUUAGUUCUAGUCAGUUUUUGCUUACGUCACUUUUCCUUUUAUAGUUCUUUUCAUGCUGACUCUAGUGACAUAACAUGCACACAUAAUUCUCAGCCUAAUCUUGAAAAUUAUUCUAAUCAUGAACUAAUGACACAGUUUUGAAUAUGAUAAAAUGAGGCAUUUGAGGAAACAAGUAAAGAUUCACGCAUUCUAAGAUAACUUGAAGCUUGAAUUGAGUGAAACUAUGGCAGUUAGUUUGGGAAAUCAAGAGGUUUAUAAGACCAUACAAUAAGGAAAUGUCUCUCAAGCACUUUGAGGAAAAUCAGUCAAUGCUGAAAUGCAUUCUUUCACAUCAAUAUAAGGUUGUGUCAAGUCUGCUUCGAACUAGAAAGGAUCAUUCAUUGGGAUAAAGGUAUUGCCCAUCGGCACUUUGUGUUUGUGUUGAUGUCAUCAAUAGAUACUGUGUAUGAUUUCUUUGCUUAUAUUCAAUUGCAUGUUUGUACUUGCCAUUUUAAAGUUUGGUAUGACGAAGGUAUUUUAUUCUGCUACUCAAACACUUUUAUCUUUUGAUACCCCUUUUGAGCCUUAAUUUGUUUUGUUCCAUACCCCUCUUUUGGAAUCAGAAGUAGAGUUAGGAACUAGAAAAGAAAAAGAAAAGAGGAAAAGAAGAAAAUGAAAAAAAAAAGAUAAAAAAAGGAAUAAAAAGAAAGAAAAGGAAGAGGAAAAAAAACUUUGUCUUUGAACUACGUUCGACCUGAUUCUUGCCACCUCAAGAUACGUAGGCAACCUUGCGGUUCGGUCACACCAAAAAAAAUAUUUCAUAAUCCCCAAAGUCAAGAGCGGGACAGUUUUUCUUAAAAAUCCCAUCAAAGCAAAAAUCCAAACAAAAAACAAAAAUCACAAAAAAAAUAUUCCCCAAACUCUAAGAAAUUGGAGCAGAAGUUUUAAUUUGGCCAAUAGACUAGAUUUCAAAAGUUGUAAUUUUGAACCCUUCCAUCUUAAAUUAUUUUAAGCCUUCAUGCCACCCUUUCUUUCCGACCCUUUCCAAAGCCUACAUUACGGUCCAAAAAAGACCUUCCGACCAAUCUUCGAGAAUGCCAAAUCAAGUGUGUGGUAAAAAUAUAAUCUUCUUAUAUCAUGGGUAAUACAUCGUUCUCAGCACAAAGAGAGAAAAUGAUAAAAUGAGAGAGUCUUAUUGGUGAAAUCCUUCACAGGCACCAUAAAGCGGCAGUGAGUUGAGAGAAAGAACAAAAUGAGAGAGGCUUGAUGGAGAAAACCCUUCGGGCACUCCAAGUCGAAUAAGGACCGUGAAUCAUAUAGGAUAAUCGGAGCAUUGAAGCCAAGUUUCAUGGCUUAGAGAUACAACAAGAGUCAAACAUUAGACUUUCUUGACAUAUUAGGCUGCUUAAUCCAAAAUGCAUGUCAUGGUCAUUGGAGUUGGUGUCCACAUUUGAUAAGUUUCUACUUGGUAAUUCUCUUGUUAGAUGUCAUCUCUUUCCAUUGUCCCCUUUCUCUAUUCCUCUUGAUCAGUUCAAGUCUUCUUUUUGAGUAUGUUUGGUCAAAACAAGUGAGAAAUGACUUCAAAAUUUACUACCAGCUUUCCAAUUGCACAGAGCGGAAUUGGGCUAACACAUCAAAGCGGCAUAAGUCAGAAAAGAAUAAUAUGCGCACUAAUUUGAUAACAAUUGGCGUGCUUUGGGAUUCGUGUGAAAUACAAAGGUUCUAUAUAUGUCAAUCCAUCAGCACAAUGCAACAGAUAGAGAGUAUUGGGUUUAAAUGGAUCAGAGGUAUUUUCUGUGAUAAGGGUGAGAGAGAGAGUACUUAGUCAAUAAGCAAUCAAGGUCUUUCAAAUUGAAAUCAAAGUUAUCAUGGCAUGUGAAGGAGUAAUUGCCCUCGUAGUCAAGGCCACAAACUAACCACCGAAUUUCAAACUCACAAGUUUUCUUUGUUUGAUACAGGAAUAAAGUAGUGCAAGAAAAGUGGUUCAAAAAAAAAGACAAAAGAAGAGAAGAAAAGAGCUGACAGAAGGAAGUUUCUCAAAUCUUUUCUUUAUUUGUCUUGCUAGUGUACAUAAAUCUUGUCAUUGAUCGUCAUACUUUCUCAUAGGAUAGAAAUCUUAGUCUGAUAAAUUUUUAUCCUAAGAUAAAACCCCUAGUCUGAUGAAGUUUCUCCUAGGAUCAAAAUCUUAGUCUGAUGAAUCUUUCUCCUAUGAUAAGAAGACCUAGUCUGAUGAAGUUUCUCCUAGGAUCAAAAUCUUAAUGUGAUGAAUCUUUCUCCUAAGAUAAAAAGCCCUAGUCUGAUGAAUCUUUCUCCUAGGAUAAACGUCUUAGUCUGAUGAAUUUUCUCCUACGAUCAAAAUCUGAGGUUGAUGAAUUUUUCUCCUUAGAUAGAAAACCUAGUUUGAUGAAUUUUCUCCUAGGAUCGACGUCUUAGUCUGAUUAAUCUUUCUCCUAAAAUAAGAAACCCAGUCUGAUAAAUUUUCUCCUAUGAUCAAAAUCUUAGUCUGAUAAAUUUUUUUCCUAAGAUAGAAAACCUAGUCAUAUGAAUUUUCUCCUAGGAUCGAUGCCUUAGUCUGAUGAAUCUUUCUCCUAAGAUAAGAAGACCUAGUCUGAUGAAGUUUCUCCUAGGAUCAAAAUCUUAGUCUGAUGAAUUUUUCUCCUAAGAUUAAAACCUAGUCUGAUGAAUUUUCUCCUAGGAUAAUAAAUUUUUUUUUUUAAAAAAGGGGUAGUCUGGAUUCGAAAAAAAAUGUCAAUUUUUAGUUUUCUUAAGUUAUUAAUCUUUAGUUUUCUUGAAAUCAGGGGUCCUGCCUGGAGAAUAGGGUCAAUUUUUACUUUAGUCGAGCUUGGUUUUCCGCAAGCUCAAUCUUAAAUCUAGGAGUCGUACUUCCUAUUCUGGGUCAUUCAGGUUUUAUUCUUAGCAGACACACUUGCUAGUCAAACAUUCUGGGUUUUAUUCACAGGAGACGCACAUCCCAGUCAAGUCUUUAGUUUUUCUCUCAUCACUGCAUCAAUAACAUAAGUGAUUUACGGUUCUACUAACAACUCACAAAUCUUCCUAGUGCAAACUGGGGCAACAAAUUCUGUUUGUUUUAUUGUAUUGAUUGCAGGCACCCACCUGGAGAAUAAGGGAAUUCGUUUCAAAAUUGUUUCAUGCUUUAAGUUGGUUGCAGGCGCCCACCUGGAGAAUGAGGGAAGUCAUUUCAGAAUUCAAUUCAAGUUAGAAGUAGUAGAAGCUCGCAACAAGAGUGCAAGUCAACAGUCCUAGAUGACCAACAAAAGUAGUCUCAAUCCAACAAAAAAAUAAUAAAAGAAUGAAAGUGAAUCUAAAAUGCAGAAGCAGAAAAAAGAUGUGAACUACCCAAGACGUGGUUGAAGUCACGAGCGCUACAUGUCCGGUCUUGAUCCGAAAAAGUUGAAGAAGAAUGAACUAGCACCUGCAGCUAGCGAGCGUUAAGGUUCAAAUCUAAAGUCUGCAGGAAGAACCAUUCAAGACUCAAGAUCAAGCUUUAGAAGGCUUAAAGAUAGGAACUUUGUAACUCAUAGCUGACAGGCUUAGUUAGUCUUUUUCAUUUUUUGAUUUUGAUGUAACAACAGGACAGCGGACCAAAACCUCGACGGAACGUCACUUCAAUCGACUCUCCACCUCGGCAUACUCCAUCAUUGUUCCCACUAUCGAACUACACGUGCCCUGAUUCCUUUAUAGCCAAGGAUAUGUAGGCAGCUCAGAUACCAGGGCUCGAUCACAUUUUGUCUCGUCAAGCCUGAUUCCUUUUAGUUUUUUUCGUCUCUCUAAAUAAGGGUCGGGUCAAAAAACCUGUCUCAUCGUUCUUUGUCUGAAAACUCUUCGUGUUUCCAGUCAAAGAGGAGCAGCUAUAGACAUGUAAUUUUUUACCCUCCCCAAGAUUUUACACAUUUUAGCAUUUAAAUAUUUAGUUUAGAUCUAAUAUCACUAGUUUAACUAGAUUUGACUCGUUUACUUUAUUUUUAUCACACUAUUCUACUAGGAUUUUGAUUUUUAUAGAAUCUUGAAAAAAUACCAAAAUAGUUUUCAAUAUAAUAUUGUUUUCUUAAUUAAUUAGGAUUAGUUUUAUAUUCUUAUAAUAUAAAUUUUAUAUUAUUAUUAGAAAGAAGAGUGAGUUUUGGGUUGGUUUAUCAAUUUUUAAUCUUUGAGCCCAAUUUUGAAGCCCAACAAGACCUAACCCACUACCCCUUCUUCUUUAACCCUUACACCUUAACCUUUAUUCAUCAUCUACACACUACCAAAACCCUAGAACCCUAGACAACACUCUAGCCGUCAUCCUCAAUAGACCUAAGACUCCCCACCAUCGUUCCUCUUCUUCAUCUUAAGAAGAAAUCCCCAGACAUGGCUUCUUCUUCUUCUAACCCUUUAACAUCCCUAAAACCCCUAGAGAGCCAUCAGCCAUGGACCCUUAGGAACGAUCCUCUAACUCCCGCGUCGUUCACCUUGAACAUUCCCUCUCAAAGGACCAGCGACUCCAAAUCCUCGUCGCACCAACCUGCCGCCAUCAACAAGAACACCAGCAACAACCGUCAUUCUUCUCAAACCCGCCGAAAAUCCGUCGGCAGACACCCACAACAACCAGCUACCUGCCACUUCCCUUCCUUUCUCUAUCUCCAUCUUUAAGCACACCCCAGAAUCCAGUAGCGAUCAUCAACCUAAUACAAAAAAGAACAACUGCCCUAACUCCUCUCAAGGACCACGCCGGCAGACCCCCCUUCAGCUAAGAAGUGCCAUUUUCUCCUUCUUCUUCAACGAACUCUAGCAGCGUCCACCACACUUACACACAGAGCUGUGAACACAGAUCUGAAACAAGAAUAUAUAUAUAUAUAUAUAUAUAUAUAUAUAUAUAUAUAUAUNNNN